GACAUACAAGGAUUUUCCUGUUAUCUUUUGGUUGAUUCCUUCUAUAAUUCCGUAAGAAAAAUACUCUACAUGAUUUCAAUCAUUUGAAAUUUAUCAAUACUUGCUUUAUAUUCCUAUAUGUAAUCAAUGUCAGAUGCUCCAUGUGCUUGAAAAGAAUGGAUUAUACAGGAACUGUAACAUUCUAUGAAUGUCCAUGAGGUCAGAUUUGUUCAUUGAUCAUGUUCUUUAAGUCUUCCAUAUCCUAAGAUUUCUGUCUGCAAGUUGUACUAUUCAGAAAGGUAUGUUAACUUCCCACUAGGAUUGUGCAUUCAGCUAUUUUUCUUGUUUCUGUAUAUUUUUGCUUUAUAUAAUAUGUACCUAUAUCUGAACUGAACCUUUUACCACUGUGCAGUGAUCCUCUUCAUCUCUAAUGCCUUUUGCCUUGAUUUCUAUGUUGUCUGAUAUCAACAUGUUAUACCAGCUUUAUUUUGCUUAAAGUGAGCCUGAAAUAAAAUUUUCCAUUAUUUUGCCUUCUGUAUCUUUGUUUUUAGAUAUGCUUCUUGUAAACCUAGUAUCUCAGAUGUUUUUAAUCCAAUCUGACGUGUCUUUUAGCAGAAUCCUCUAGUCUAUUUACAUUUAUUGUAAUUACUGACACUUGAAUUUAUAGCUAUCAUGUUAUUGUGUGCUUUCUGUUUUUCCUGCCUCCUCUAUACUGUCUUCAUAGUAGACAGUGGUGUUAAGGUCCAUUUUCUAAUUUUUCUCCUUGUGUUGAGUAAUAUCAAUAAAUUGUUAGGUAAAAUGAUUCACCAAUUUUUAUUAUUUAUAUGUCUCAAUAUAACUUUCCUAAAUUCUCAUGCUUCUAGUUGAAAGCAAAACAUAGGACAUAAAAUCUUUAUGAAAUUACAAUACAACUACCAUCUGGCCUUUAAGAUUAACCAAUCUAUGGAAGUACAAGGCUGCCCAUUAAAAAUGACAACAGUAGGCUCUCAGAACUGCUGCAGCUUAGUCAGUAACCAAGCUGUUUUCAAAUUUUUUAUUCUUCUAGUUUUACCCAGUGAAACUAAGAUAUAUUAUCACAACAUAGAUAUCUAUUUAUGUAUGUAGUAUCAGAUAUUAUUGAUUCUUGGGGCAACCAGAUGUCACUAAUUGUGUUUACCCUACCAUAAUUCUCCUUUAAUACCCAGCUCAAAAUAUAAACCAGUUAAAGCCAAAUUCUUCAGAAGCAAAACGGUGUCAUUCUACUUUUAAUGGGGGGAAAAAACUAUUUUAACAGUCCUACUAAUUUUUUUCAGUGUCACACAAACUAUCAUACUGCAAGAUAAAUCGUGAGAAGUAAACAAGCCAGUACAAAGCCUAGCAUCUUAACACAGUAAAUAUGACAUUGGUGACUGUAGAAGGAAAAGAUGAGACAUCACCAGGAAAAGGUUUUCCCAAACACCUCACUGACUGGUGGUUCAAGGUAAGACUGUUAGUCUUGUGGCCCAAAGGCUCUAUCAUGGUCUAGAGUUGAUUAGGAAAAAUGCCUCAGGGCAAAGUUAAAGACAAUCAAUUAUAAAAAGCAAAAUGACAUACUAUCAGUAUUAUUAAUUUACAACAAAAUAACCACCAAGAAGACUGAAUACUGAACUCUUCUGGGCAAUGUAAUCUGUCCCACUACAACUACACUGGGGAGCAGAUAAUAAUCAGUUAUGUGCUGAGUAAAUUUGGAAUCACAACAAAGGGACUCACUUGCUUCACAAGUUCAUGGCAUCACACCACAUCCAUUUCCACUGUGGGAAUAUGCCUGCCUUAGGAUGCUGUCCCCAAAUAAAUAACGCCCACACAGACACUGAUAAACUUUGUUUUUUUCCACACUCAUUGUUAAGUGACAACUUCUUCCUCUGUGGCACAUCCAUCCUAUGUUUUCUGAUAGACUGAGUGUCUCCCACUCUCUCCUUCUGUGAUCCAUUAUAUACUGAUAGACUUAAAAUGGCUUACCUCUCCCUAAGCUAAACUUACUGUUAGUAGGUACCUUACCCACCCAUCACCAAUAGCAUGACCUUUUGUUAUUGGGCUACAUUAAAAAGCAGGCAUAAAUGUGAGAGGCACAAAGUCCCCAAACUUCAUCCUCUACCUGCUACUUCAUCAAGAGUCCAGCACUGCCCAAGGAGUAAACCUUCUGUAUCUACCAAUCCAGGAUGUGGUCUUAAGAUACAUGUACUCUUAGGCCGGGCACGGUGGCUCAUGCCUGUAAUCCCAGCACUUUGGGAGGCCGAGGCGGGCAGAUAAUGAGGUCAGGAGAUCGAGACCAUCCUGGCUAACACGGUGAAACCCCGUCUCUACUAAAAAUACAAAAAAAAAUUAACCAGGCGUGGUGGCAGGUGCCUGUAGGCCCAGCCACUCGGGAGGCUGAGGCAGGAGAAGGGCGUGAACCCGGGAGGUGGAGCUUGCAGUGAGCCGAGAUCUUACCACUGCACUGCAGCCUGGGCGACCGAGCCAGACUACGUCUCAAAAAAAAAUAAAAGAUACAUGUACUCUGGCCCAAAAAGGCAGGUAUGACUUCCACAGUUUCCUUGCCCAUAUCCUUCGCUUCUUAGUCCUCUGCCCUCACAGGGCUGGUCCCCGCAGAACACAUGCCUAGCCAGCUCCUUCAUGGACACUGUGUUCAGUCACUCAGGUCCAAUAGCCAAGCACAGUUCCAUCCAACAGUAACCCCCUCCCUCCCCAGCCCCAUUCCCCUUCCAGUUGGAGGAGCAGGCUUCUUUUUCAGAUGAGUAACUCCAAGAAUGACGUUCUCUUUAAGUGAUUAUGAACCACAGUCUAAUAAGGGUGAGACCCUGCUCUUCCCACAAAACCACAGCCCUCAUAAAGUCAAAGGUAUACAUCUAAAUAGGCUGUUGUGUGUUUGUUUUGUUGUGUUUUUUUUGUUGUUUUUUUUUAAACUGCAACCACAGGGCAGCUGAAGGCAAUGGGGGACUGAGGAAGGAGGCAGCAGAAGUAGGAGAGGAGCAAGAAUCCAGAAGGGAAAUGAGAACGACAAAACUGAAGUGCACUUCAACAUCCUGCAGCCAAAGGGGUAAAAAGGAGAAAGAAGCGCAGACCAGUCACAUAAAUGCCACAGUGACAUGCACAAAAACGUGAGGGGCACACUCCAGGGACAGAGUCUGACAACAUGACAAGCUACAUGGCAUCAAACUCUUUCAUGUGACAGGCAGCUUUUCACAUGUGCAUCUUAAGACUGGAACUUGCUAUAGAUAAACCUUAAGUAGUUAAUAAAAGCAAAAGUCAUCCUCUAUUCACUGUUUGCUGCCAUGUUCCAGGCAUAGUACUUGGCACUUUUUAUUUUAUUUCACUUGAUCAGCUCAGAAAGUCCUCCAAAUGAGUAUUUAAAAAAAAUAACAGCUCACUUUUUGAAAAACAAUUUCAACUUUUAUUUCAGAUUUGGGGGUACAUACACAGGUUACAUGGGGAUACUAAAUGAUGCUGAGGUUUGGGGUGCAGACGAGCCCAUAGCCCAGGUAGUGGGCAUAGUACCCAACAGGUAGGUUUUCACCGCCCUGCGUCUUCCUCCCUCCCGCUCUAGUAGUCUCAAGUGUCUACUGUUCCCAUCUUUAUGUCCAUAUGCACUCGAUGUUUAGUUCUCCCUUACGAGAACAUGUUGUUUUCGGUUUUCUGCUCCUGUGUUAAUUCACUAACAACCUCCAGCUGCACCCACCUUGCUACAAAUGACAUGAUUUUGUUCCUUUUUAUGGCUGCAUAGUAGUCCAUGAUGUAUAUGAAUGGCUCACAUUUACUGCACACUUACCUUCGUAACAACUGUGAGUCAGGUACUAGCAUUAUUCCAGCUUACAGUGGAAAAAGCUGAGUCAGAGAGGGUAAUAAAAUUGCCUCGGAUCACACAGUUAUCAAGUAGUGAAGCCAAGAAUCAAACCCAAGCAGUAAGCCUGGGCUAUGCAUUAAAACCUAAGUGCAUCAUCAUUGAGCUUUGCUGUCUGUGAUGUAAACAUCGUCCCCACUUUAGAGGUGAGAGACAUUUAGGGAGGUAAACACACCAAGGCCUCACAGAAGUGCAGGGCUGAGCUAGGACCUGAAUCCACCUCAUCCUCUGUUAUAAUACUCCUUCUCUCAUUGUGGAAUUAUACAUAUUUAAGUACUUAGGAAGCAAAAUACUUACACUUAAAGUGAACCUCCACUUAUUUUCAGAGACUUACUACACAAAAGGAAAAAAAAAAAAACAUAUUUAAUGUGUUUGUAACUGGCUCGAUACUAAGCCACGCUCUAGUGCAUAAAUUAUUCCCUGAGAAUUAAUAAAGUACUUAAGAAACUUGUAUUAACUCUUUCAGGCCACAGGGGUAGCAUUCAGUGAACUGAAUUCUUAAUUUACUAAAAUGGUACCCAGAAGGUUCAGAAGAACAUAACUUCCUCUGAGGGCAUGGGGAGAAAAAACUUGUAAAGCCACUUAGGAAUAUAAACUAAAUUCAGAACAAAAUUAAAAACCAUGCCACAGGGAAAUAUUGUUCUAGUGGAUUAGCCUCUGGCCCUAAAAAUUGGUCAGAAAUGAAACAGGGAGGUUGAAAAUAUCUAGGAACAGAAAAUCACCUUCAACGGCACAUUUGAGCCCAAUGGCUAGGGUUCUGGAGCCUUGACUGUAGUAAUCAGAGAAUAGGUGAAAAGUUAUUUUGUUCCAACUUCAUCAGGUACUUCUGGGAAAGGCAUAGUAAGACCAACAGCUUUAUGACAUCACCAGAUCUCCAACUGGUAUCCAACAUAUCAUAUAUACACUAAUAAUGCAAAAUUAGACUCUUUCACCUAUAAAAAUACUGCUCCAUAUACAAAAGAGUAUAAGAAGAUAUGUGCCAAGUGUUGUCAGAGUACUACAAAAUUGCUAAAAGAAUAUAAAAAAAAAUCUGGUUUGUGCACCUGGAGAAGAGUUCUUGGAAGAAGUGGCAUCAAGUACAACUCCACUUAACCGGCUAACGUCUGGAUGCAAGAGGCAGUGAAAGCAAGCAGAGGGAAUGGCAUGGGCAACCAACAGAAGCACGAAGAUGCAAAGUCUUUCAGGGAACAGCAAGAAUUUAACUGCAGACUUUGGUGUAUGAAGUGAAACUCUCUCCAAUUAGUUUAGCAGAGAAGGAGGAGAAUAAAUAAUUCUCUCAGGGCUGGGUGCAGUAGCUCAUGCCUAUAAUUCUAGCACUUUGGGAGGCAGAAUCAGGAGGAUCACUUGAGCCCAGGAGUUCGAGACCAGCCUGGGCAACAUAGCAAAACACUGCUAUACCAAAAAAAAAAAAAAAAAAAAAAAAUAUAUAUAUAUAUAUAUAUACACACACACACACACAUACAUAUAUAUGUAUACAUAUAUACAUAUAUACACACACACAUAUAUAUACGUGUAUAUAUAUAUGUAUACAUAUAUACACACACACACAAACACACAUACACACACACACCAAAAAAAAAAAAAGAAACUAAAUUAGCCAGGUGUGGGGGUGCAGAAGGCUAAGGUAGGAGGACUGCCUGAGCACGAGUUGGAGACUGCAGUUGAGUCAUGAUCACAUCACUGAGCUCCAGCCUGGGUGACAGAGUGAGACCUUGACUAUUAAAAAAAUUAAAAAUAAAUAAAUGUUAACUCUAUUGUUAUUACCACAAGGGCACCAGAAAGCACAGCACACUUGUGGAAUCUGAAGUAGCUUCAUCGAUCAGGACCAUACGUACGUUGUAGUGCUGGCAGGAAGGAGAGACAAGCCUAGGAAGAAAGUGAAGCUAGAUGAACAGCCUUGCACGGAGGCUCACAGGAGCUCCACUAGCCCAGGUGACACCUCUCAGUGAAGGGGAAAGGUCCCCACCCACCGAAACCAGCCCCAGAGCUGCAGACAAGCUGGCAGGACUCCUCUUCUCGCUGGUGCCCACAUGCAGGGCACAAUCAGCUUUAUUAUGAGCAGCAUUUGUGCAUGCACAGGAGUCUGAAAUUUAUUCUUAAGACAGUAGGAACCUCCCUGAAAGAUUUUAAGCAGAAGAGGAUGCAGUAUCACAAGUUGCAAUGUGGAAAAACUGAGACUCUAAAUCUUAAAAAUUAGACCCAAAAACAUUUUAUCCAGGAGUACAAGUGCCAGAAACAUCUAACAAUGGGGUUAUUCUAAAAGAACUGUUUUAAUUAUUAUGCUUAAAAGACAGAAAACAAGAACCGAAUAACUGCAGUGGGUGAUGACACUGCAAUUCCAACAGACUGAACGCCUGACUACCAAUGUCACGGCAGCCCAAGCUGUGUCAUCUAGAUGGGGUGACCUGCAUCAUAAAGGAUCAAACAUUACUGCGAGAAGCUAUUCAAUAUGAAAAAUCUCAAAUUUCAUGGAACAACAUUAUUUACUACUGAGGAGGCAAUACUCUAGAGAAGCACUGAAACAGGAAAGAGACGGCAAGGCAUCGCCUGGGAAAACAGAUAACGCUGAGGAGUCUUUUCAGCCGUGCCACCAUCCUGGAAUUUGGGUUUCUGAAAACAUGUUACAAGCCCUGAUAUGUUACUAUACUCCCAUCUUCAAAUCAGAAAUAAUUUCCUGGAAAAAAAGAUAACUCAUGUUAUUGAAUGGUGGGGUUUCUCUGCCAUUUAAAUAAAAUGGCAUUGCAAAUCAUGCUUAUUGUAAGAAUGUCUAAGUUAAAUAUAUUUAAUGUGUUAAUAUCACUGAGUAGGAUUUUACGUAAUUUUUUUCAGGAAAUUCUCAUCUCUUAAUGACAGCUACUUUGGUUUGCUGACAUACUACGUUUAUAUUAAAAGGUUAGUUCAGUCUCUUUUUGUUUCCUAACAUAUGUCAUGUCCCAAUAUCUUUUUUCAAUGUAUUCUUUUGAAGAUAUUAUUUAUCUGGAAGAAGUCAGGUCCCAGAGAAACCAGGAAAUAGGUAUCAGCAUAAGCAUUUUCACUAUAAAAUCCGUAAGUUAUCUGAAAAUAAAAUCCUCCAAAUCCAAAAUGCAGUUCCUAAUAACAUGCCCUCUGUGUACUUCAAUGCAGCAGUGAUCAAACCACAUUCCGUGGAGACCCGAAGUUCUACAACAAGACUUCAAAGACUUCUAUAAACGCUUAACUUCUUGCAAUAUGUUUUAAAAUCUGUAAUAAAGCACAACAGUCAUAAUCAGAUGGGUACUAUUCAGAUUUUUACAUAAGUUGUCCCCAAAGCACUACCCUGUGUGGUAGGUCAAUUUGUGCUUGUGUGGACCUGGAAAUGAAGCAUCUCUUGUUAUUACUGUACAACAGUAAGACUGGCAGUAAUCAUGUCAUUAACUACAAAGGCUCACCACUCAUCAUUUUCUGAAUUUAGGACUGCUGAACUUUUACGUUCAUUCUCUCAGAACUUACUACCAGGGACACUCCUGCAGUAUAUAUGAAAAGGUAAAUUAUACACUAGACAGGGCUCAGGCCCAUCUGAUUGAAACGUGCUAUCAGCAUGCCAUUACGUCCAGUCCAGCAACAACGAAGAAGAACACGAUAUCCACCUAUUCUGAGAAUGGUAAUGCAGUUUUAACAUUUGUUGCAAAUUUUGGGGUAUCUUCUAUUUAUGAUAACAAGAGCAACUGUCACAUUUUUAUUCAGCCUGGAAAUAAACUGUCUACAAUUCUUCUUUUAAGCUUCCAUAUCAACAUAAGCAAAGCACAUCUUGAAACUGCAAGAGAAACUGUUCUCAAAAGCUAAUAACUGCCACUACUUAAGUAAGUCGGAAUUUUCUUAUACAACUAACGAGAAAAAAAAUUGGAUCCUGAGCUAGGUACAGAGCUUCAGCUUUCCAAGAUAAAAGUAGCUGUGGAGACUAGAUGCACGACAAUGUGAACGUAUUUGAUGCUACUGAACUGUAUACUUAAUGAUUCAGAUGAAAAAUUAGGAUAUAUUUUACCACCAUUUUUAAAACAUUUUUUAAAAUUGAACAUGUAGGGAGUUUCAUUGUUCACUUUUUACUUUGUAUUCUCUAAUCCUGAAGACAUUUAAUUCUGUAGAUUUUUUCCCCUGCACACAGUUUUCACUGUGUCCAUAGGCUUUGGUACAAAAUAUUCCUUUUAUUGCUUUGUUUGAUCUAACUAAACUUAGUGAAAAUAUACAUGCAUUUCUAGUUUUUUUUUUUUUUUUUUGGUUGUAUGUGUUUAGCAACUAUGGUUUAGUGUCUGUACACCUUCACAGUUUAUCCUCUUCAUAAAUGUCUUUUAUCAAUAAUAUGUCCGUAAUAUGUUUACUGCUUUCAACUGUUAGUCUCAACUGAUCUGAUAUCAACACUGCCAUUCUGUUUUUUGUUUGUAUGGUAUCUUUUUGCCCAUCUCUUCACUUUCAUCUUCCCCUUUAACAAUUGAAGAGUUACUUGUUAUCACCUGUAUUUUAAGGCACUUUCCAAUCUUGUCUUCUAAUAGAAGUCAGUCCAUUCAUAUUUAACUUUUUAUUAAGAGAUAAUUACAGAUUCACAAGCAGUUGUAAGAAAUACUACAGAGAUCCCAUUCACCCUUGACCAAGUUUCCCACAACAAUGACACUUUGAACAGCUAGUGCAAUACCACAUACAGAUUAUUGACAUCGAUACAGCCAAGAUAGAGUAUUUCCACCACCACAAGGAUCCCACAUGUCACUCUUUCAUUAGCCACAUCCAUGUCCGUCCUACUCUCUUCUGCUCUUUAGCCACUGGAAGCCACUAAUCCAGUUCUAGAAUUUUGUCAUUUCAUAAAUAUUACAUCAAUGGAAUUAUACAACAUAUAACCUUUUAGAAUAGGCUUUUUAUCACUCGAUGUGGAGAUUCACAGUAGGUGCAUCAAUACUUUGGCCCUUUUUAUUGUGAGAAGUAAUCAUGAUACAGAAGUACUGUGGUUCAAUAAUGCGUUCACUGAAGGACAUCUGGGCUGUUUCCUGUGUAGGGGUAUUUAUUAUAAAUAAAGCUUCUCUAAGCAUUGGUGUACAGGUUUUUGCAUGAUUAUGUGUUCAUUUCUCUGAGAUAACUAUCCAAGAGUACACUUGCCAAGUUGUAUCAUAGUUCUACGUUUAGUUUUAUAAGAAACCGCCAAACUGUUUUCUAGAGUGGCUGUACCAUUUUACAUUCCCACUAGCAAUGUAUGAGCAAUGUUUCUCUGCAUCUUCACCAACAUUUGGUGCUUUUUUUUUUUUUUCAGCCAUUUAGCAGAAGUUUUCUCCCUAUGGCUUUAAUUUCCAUUUCCCUAAUGGCUAGUAAUACUGAAUGUAUGUCUUUUUCUGUGAUUAUUUGCCACUUAAAUAUCCUCUUUGGUGAAAAGUCUGUUGAUGUCUUUUGUCCAUUUUCCAACUGGAUUGUUUUUUCCUAUUGAAUUUUGAAAGUUCUUUACAUAUUCUAGGUAUUAGUCUCUUGGCAGACAGAUGAAAAUAUUUUCUACUAGUAUGUACCUUGUCUUUCCAUCCUCUUAAUAUGCUCUUUCAUGGAGAAAAAGUCUUUAACUGGUUCUAACUUACCAAGUUUUUCUUUUAUGGAUUGUGAUUUUGGUGUAAAGACUAAGAACUUAUUGCUUAGUUCUGGAUUCUGAAGACUUCCUUUUUUUUUUCUUUUUUUUGAGAUGGAGUUUCGCUCUUGUUGCCUAGGCUGGAGUGCAACGAUGCGAUCUCGGCUCACCGCAACCUCCACCUCCUGGGUUCAAGCGAGUCUCCUGCCUCAGCCUCCUGAGUAACUGGGAUUACAGGCAUGUGCCACCACACCUGGCUGAUUUUGUAUUUUUAGUAGAGACGGUGUUUCUCCAUGUCGGUCAGGCUGAUCUCAAACUCCCGACCUCAGGUGAUCCACCCACUUCGGCCUCCCAAAGUUCUGGGAUUACAGGCAUGAGCCACCGCACCUGGCUAACUUUCUCCUUUUUUGCCUAAGAGUUUUACAAUUUUACAUUUAUGUCCAUAAUCUAUUUUGAGUUAAUUUUGUAUAAAAUAUAAAAUUUAGAUCAAGGUUGAUCAUUUCGUCUAUGGAUGUCCAAUUUCUGCUCCAACACCAUUUGUUGAGAAGAAUAAUCUAUCAGUGAAUUGCUUUUUCACCUUUGUCAAAAAUUAAUUUGGCAUAUUUAUGUAUUUUUUUAGUUCUCUGUUCCACCGCAUUGAUCUGUGUAUCUUGAUUACUAUCACUAUAAGGGAAAGCUUUAAUAUCAGUAGAGUGAUUCCAACUGCUUUAUUCUUUUACUAGAUCGUUUUAGUUAUUCUGGGGCCUAUGCCUUUCCAUACAGGUUUUUCAAUAACCUUUUUAUGUAUCUACCAAAAAUCUUUGCUGGGAUUUUAUAUAGGAACUGCAUAAAAGCUACGAUAAUUCAGGGAGAACUGACACAUUUACCGUGUUGAAUAUUCCAGUAUGUCAAUAUGGUUUGUGGCAACAUUUGGGUCCUCUGAUUUGUUUCAUCAGUUUUGUAAUUUUCAGCACAAAUAUCCUACACAUGUUGAAGUUUGUAUCUUUUUCACAAUUUUUAGAACAUAAAUGGCAUUGUGUUUUUAAUUUCAGUUUCUGCAUAUUUUUUGUUAGGGUAUAGAAACAUGGUUUUUGUGUUGAUCCUGUAUGCAGCAACUAUGUUGAACUCCUCAGUUCAAGAAGUUUUUUUUCUAGAUUUCUUAGGAUAAACAAUGAUGUAAUCCGUAAACUGGGACUGUUUUGCUCCUCCUUUUUGGUCUGGAUAUCUUUUAGUACUACUGUUUUGGACAGCAAAGGUAAGACUGAACAUCCUGGCCUUGUUCCCAACCUGAGAGGAAAGACAUUCCAUCUUUCAUCAUGAAGUAUGGUCUUAGCUGGAGAAGGCUUUUGUUAGAUGCUCUUUAGUUGAGAAAGUUCUUUAUUGCUAGUUUUCUGAAUUUUUAAUCAUGAAUGAAUGUUGGAUUUUGUCAGAUGCUUUUUAUAGGUCAACUGAUAGAUGCUGAUUUUUCUUUGGUCUGUUGAUAUGGUGGGUGGCAUAGAUUUUCGAACGUUGAACCAGUCUUGCAUGGCUGGCAUAAAUCUCAUUUGGUCAUGUUAAAUAUUUUUUAUUAAUUACUCUAUUUGAUUUGCUAAUAUUUUCUUGAGGAUCAUUGCCUUUAAGUUCAUGAGCGAUACUGAACUGUGGAGUUUCUUUUUUGCUGUCUCUGAUUUUGCUGUCAGGGUAAUACUAGACUCACAAAAUGACUUUGUAGGUCUUCUCUCCUGUUUUCUAGGUCUUCUCUCCUGUUUUCUAGAAGAGACUGAAUAAAAGUGGUGUUAAUUCUUCUUUAAAUGUUGGUAAAUUGUCCAGUGAAACCAUCUGGACCCAGAGAUUUUUUCUUUUUUAAGGGAGCAUUUCAAUUAAGAAUUCAAUUUCUUUAAUGGCUUUAACAUUACAGUAUACCUUGUUUUAUUGCACUUUAUUGUGCUUCAUAGAUGAUUUUUUUUUUUUUUUUGAGACGGGGUCUUGCUCUGUUUCCCAGGCUCCAGGGAGUGCAGUGGUCCAAUCUCAGCUCACUGCAAGCUCCACCUCCCAGGUUCAUGCCAUUCUCCUGCCUCAGCCUCCUGAGUAGCUGGGACUACAGGCGCCUGCCACCAUGCCCCGCUAUUUUUUUGGUAUUUUUAGUAGAGACGGGGUUUCACCGUGUUAGCCAGGAUGGUCUCGAUCUCCUGAGCUCGUGAGCCACCCACCUUGGCCUCCCAAAGUGCUGGGAUUACAGGCGUGAGCCACCAUACCUGGCCAAUUUUUUUAAUUUUACUUGUUUUUUUACAAAUUGAAGAUUAGUGACAACGCUGCUUUCAGCAAGUCUAUCAGCACCAUUUUUCCAACAGCAUGUGCUCACUUUGUGUCAGCAUUUUCUAGCAACAAUUACUGUGUGUAUUUUUAGACAAAAUGUUAUUGCACUUCAUAGAGUAAAUGUAACUUUUAUAUAUAUACACUGGGAAACCACUUUCUGUGACUCCUUUUAUUGCCAUAUUUGGUUUAUUGCAGUAGUCUGAAACCAAAUCCGCCACAUCUCUGAGGUAUGCCUACAUUCUGAUUGUCUAUUUUGUCUUGGUUGAGUUUUAUUAAGUUUUAGUUUUUGAGAAAAACUAAAAUAAAAAGCUAAUUAAAACUAAAGAUAUUUCCUCUACAUUGUCAAAUUUAUGAGCACAAAGUUAUCUGUGGGAUUUCCUAAUUAUCCUUUCAAUGGCUGCAGCCUCUGUAGUGAUAUCCUCUAUUUCAUUCCUGUUCACUGAUUUGGGUCUUAUUCCUUUUUAUCUGUGUCAGUCUUGCUAAAUUUCAUUGAUCUUUUCAAAGAAAUAACUUUUUAUGAUUUUUAUGAUUUUUCUUUUUCCUCUUUUCAAUUUCACUGACUUCUGCUCUUCGUUCUGCUUGCUUAGGCUUGUUUUGCUCUUUUCUAGUUUCUUGAGGUAGGAGCUUAAAUUGACUUGAGACCUUUCCACUUUUCAACUUAAUUUAUAACAGUGCUAUAAAUUUCCCUCUUGGGACUGCUUUAAGCUACAUCCCACAUAUUUAAUAACAUAUUUUCAUUUUUAUGUUUAAUAUUUUCCUUUGAGACUGACGUAUGAAUUAUUUAUAAAUGUGUUAUUUAGAAAUUUUCCUGUUGCCUUUACUAUUUUUAGUUUGAUUCCAUUAUUGCCACAGAACAAAUUCUGUAGGAUUUCAAUCCUUUUACGUUUUUUAUUUUAUAGCCCAGAAUAAUGUCUAUGAUGUCCCAUGGGCACUUAAAAAGUAGGGUAUUCUAUUGUUUCGGGUAAAUUGUUCUAAAUGUCAGAUUCUGUUGGUCAAUUGUGUAAGUCCUAUAUUCUUGCUGAUUUGGUGUAUAGUUUUACUAAUUGCUAAGAAUAUGGUGUUUAAGACUUCAGUUAUUUAUUACAUUUAUUUAUAUGUAUAUAGUAUUUGUUAAAUUUAUUUCUCCUUUCAGCUCAGUUUUUGCUUCAUGUAUCUUGAGGUUCUGUUUGGUGUGUACAUAUUUAGGAUCAUCAUGUCUUCCUAAUGUGUUCAUUAUUUGAUCCUUAUGCCUCUGUCUUUAUUAAUUUAUUCUGAAAUUAUUUUUGAAUGUUAAUAUGGCCACUCUUGUUUAAAUUCAUGUUUGUAUGGCAUAUCUUUUUCCAUCCUUUACUUUCAACCUACCUGUGUCAUUGGUUUAAGAGAAUUUCUUGAACAACACAGUUUUGGAUGUUUUCUUAACCACUGUGCCAAUCUCUAUCCUUUAAUUGGUGUAUUCAGAUCAUCUAUAUUUAAGCCAAUUAUUAGUAUGACAAGCCUAAGCCUGCCAUUUAAUUAUUUCUGUUAUUUUGUUUCUUCUGUUUCUCCUUUCUUCCUGUGGAUUAUGUCAAUUUUUUAAUAAUUCCACCUUCAUUUAUUCAUAGUGCUCGAGUAUACCAGUUUUCAUAAUGGCUGCUCUAAGGACUACAGUAAGCAUAUGUAACUUAUCACACUCUACCGGUAUCAACAUUUUUACCAGCACAAGCAAAAUAGGAAAAACAGGCUUCCAUGCUUCCAUGUAAGUUGCCUUUACUCUCCCCACUUUUUUUUUUCUUUAAACACAGUCCAGAGUAUUUUCUUGUUUUGGUGUUUUUUUUUGUUUGUUUGUUUGUUUGUUUUUAACACCUAUCAUGCCAUGGAUUCAUAGGAGAGACACCCCAGCAGCUCAGGUUCCUCUCCACUGCUUCUCACAAAGUGUGCUUCUCUGGGAACAGGCUGGCUCUUCAGCUGAACCCUGGUACAUUUCUCUUUGGCUUCCUUCUUUUUCUGAUCAUUUUCCUUCACAUGUUUCAGGAAGCUAUCUUGGCUCUUAAGAGUGCUUAAUGUGCUCAACACGCACAUUAGUUCUCUUGGCAAGAGUCGUGCCCUGACCUUGUUUGUUUACAAUGCCAACAGCAUGCUGAGUAACAUCGUAGACUCUUGCAGUUUUGCCAUGGUAACACUUGUGGGGCUUCCUUUCUGAACAGUACCCAUUCCCUUGAUGUCUCCAAUAUCAUCUUUCUUAUAGAUUUGCAGGUAUGUGGCCAAAAGAACAAGUCCAUGUUUUCUAAAAGGCCUAGAGAACAUACCAGGUGCCUCUCCCUUUUCUCUUUGUCGUUCAUCAUUUUGGCAAAUUAACAGAAGAUGGUUGGUUCCAGCCAAAAGGCCCUUCCCCACUUUUUAAGCAUGUCUUAAAUAUUUCCGCGGCAUAUAUUUACUACAUCAUAUUACAUUAAAAUUUUGCUUCAACCAAAUAUAACUCAUAAAAAGUCUAUUACAUGUGCCCCUAUAUUUGCCCAUUCCAGUCCUUUCUGAAAUUCAGAGCCUUAUGUUUUCGUUUCCAUUCAUUUAAAGAACUUUUACCUAGUUUUUAAGGGUAUGCUUGGUAACCAACCACAACUUGUUUUCCUUCAUGCAAGAAAGUUUUCCUUUUCCCCUCAUUCCUGAAAGACAUUUUUGUUGCAUAUAGAAUUGGUGGUUAAUGGUUGUUUCUUUCAGUACUUGAAAAAUGUUGUGCUGCUUUUCUUCUGGCCACCAUCAUUCCAGAUGAGAAGGCUCCUCUCAUUUGGACUGGUUUUCCCCUACAAAUUACACAUUGUUAAACUCCAGCUACUUUCAGUAGCUUUCCUGUAUCUGCCUUGCACAAGUUUAAUCAGGAUGUGUCUUGGCACAGAUUCCUUUGGGUUGAUCCUGUCUGGGGCUCACUCAGCUUCUUAGAUCUACAGCUUUCUGUCUUUCACCAAAUUUGAGAAAUUAUAGUCAGAUUAUUUCUUCAGAUUUUUUUUUUUUGGUCCCACUCUAUUCUUUCCUUCUGAAACUGCAACAACACAAGUGUUAUCUCUUUUAUCAUCACUCCAGAGGUCUAUGAGACUUUUUUUUUCCAGUCUAUUUUUUUCACAUUGGGCAGAUUCUAAUUUUCUGUCUUCAAGUUCACUGAUUCUCAGCCUGCCAUUGCCACUCUAUUGAGCCCAUUCAGUAUUUUUAAACUAUCAUUAUUUUUCAGUUCUAUCAUUUCUUUUUGGUUUUUAAUAAAUUAUUUUUAUUUCUUGGCUGAGAAUUUCUAAUGUUUUGUUUCAAAAGAAUUUGUAAUAGCUUGUUGAAACAUUUUAUCAUAGCAGCUUUCAAAUCCUUGUCAGAUAAAUCAGUUAGCACCUGCUGAUGGUCCUUUCUCAUUCAUAGGUGAUAUUCCUGGAUCUUGGUAUGAGUGAUCUGUAGAAUUGUAUAAAUUGGUAUGAAUUGUAUCCUAUAUGUUUUUGAUAUUAAGAGACCCCAGAUCAAAUUUAAUCUUUUAGUGGGCAGCUUCCCUGCUAAAAAGGCAUUAAUACCAGGGAUGAGUGGGUAUGCACAUUCAGUUACCCACUAGCCCCCCACUCCCCACCAUCACCCUGACAAAAGUGGGGUGAUGACUCACAUUGCCUUGUUGCAGACAGAUGGGGUGAGAGUUCAGCUCACUGACACUUUCCCAGCCAAAGUGUGGCUCCAACUCACCAUUUCUGUUGCCUCUGUGUAAGAUCAGCUACCCUCUGGGCCAAGCUACCACAGGGAAGGGAAAGCCAAGGGCUAAGCCAUGCCAGUUUGUUGCUGCAUCCAGGAGCAGAAGUUCAGGACCCCCGGGGGCCCUAUUUAUACCAAAGGAGGGGCGGGGAGGUGGGGAGUGCCAGCAUGCUCCGCUCCUCCAUACCUCAUUUGCCACCAGUGGGUGUGGAGGCUCACACCUCCCCACCAGGGGAUGAUGGGGAUGGAAGAGGUCAAGUGUAAUGGUAAUUAGCCCCCUGCUAGCACCACCUCAUUGUGGCUGGUGGGGGCUGGAUAUGGCCCUAACCUGGGCCUUGCUGACACUACCCUGGCAGAGAAGUCAGAGCAUCACCUGCUCCUACCAGGCAGAGGGUGGAAGAUCAGCUCCCCACUAGGCGCUGUCAGCACCACCUGACAGGGGAAUUGAAGUACCACCUGCUUCUGCCAGGCAGGAUAUGAAAGAUUAACUCUCUGCUCAGGCAUGCCUUCAGCCUCUGGGUGGGGAACCGAAGCAUGCUGCCUGCUCUCGAAGCCUGGGAAGGGAGGAGGGCAGUUUCCUUGGUUUAGCUGGAGCAGAGUGAGUACUGACAAAAGCUCUGUUUUGUUAGACCACCCUCCCUUCCCCUGUCCUCUGGCUAUGGGGAACAGGCUCUUCUCAGAGUUUUGCUGUCUGUGCCUACUGGUGGUUCAGGGAUGGAGGCUUCUGCAGUGCCCUGUACUAGACAUGUGGGAGAUAGUAAGGAGGGGAACUGACACCCUUGUCAUUUCUCAAGUCCCCAGGACUCUAGAGUGGCCACAGUCUUCUCUCCACCUUUCAGCAUCUUCCUAUGCUUCUUUGUUAUAUGAAGUCCAGGGAUUUUGAGUCCUAAGAGGGUAGAGAGAAAUGGGGCUGCUCCACCUUGGUAAGACAGUAAAUCUCUGGCCCAUUCCCAUUUCUUCAUCUUUCUUUUCUAUCUUGCAGUUUCUACUUUUCCUUUCCUGACUCCCACUGGUCUGGUUGGAUUACUAUUCAUUUCAUUUUUGCUUCUGUGAAUUUGAAAGUUCUAGUGCUUACUUUCCUCUUCCUGGCAGUAGUGAUCAGUCCCAUAUUUUACUACUAUUUCUUACAGACUACUUUCUCCACAAAGACCCUCUUAUCCUUCAAUCUUCCAAUUAAGACAAGACCUGUAGAAUAAUUUCCCUGUCCCCAUCUUCCAUUUGGCAAAUAUUUGAGCACCUACUAUGUACCAGGUGAAGAAAAGAUAACACAAGAAGCAAAAUAACAUUCCUACCUAUGAAGCUUAUAGUCUACUGGGGAACAGAAAAAAAAAAAAAAGAUAAGUACCAUUAUGUAUCUUAUCCCAGUAAGUUAAUAAAGCAGUUGUUUUAAAUAGAGAACAAUCAGGAGACAGCUUGGAAGUAACUUGGUAAGCCAGGUGGAUAAUGCUUAGGGGGUAAAUAAAGAAAGAUAACUGGGACCAUCCACACAGAACCUUGUAGGCCACAGCAAGGAUUUUAAAUUGUAUUCUAAGUGCAAUAGUAUUUAUAAUCUAAGUGAGCAGUGGAAAGACAUGAUUUAGGUUUAUGUCACUCUGGCAACUGGAUACAGAAGUUAAAAGUUAGGGCCACCAUUUAUAAGGCUUAUUAGUGAUGAUGGUGGCCUGGAAUGGCAGCAAUAAGGCUGAUUAUAAGUGACUGGUUUCAGGGUAUGUUUUAAAAGCAGAGAAAACAGAAUUUACUAAUGGGAUUCAGGGUGAUAAAUUAGAGAAGAAAAAAAAUGAAGGAUAACUCCAAGAUUUGGGGCCUGAGUUACUGGGUAAAUGAUAAAGCCACUUAUUAAAAUGGGAGACACUAAGUGAGAGAGAUUUGAAAAAAAAGAAAAAUCAAGAGUGGUUUCAAACAUAUUAGAUGUGAGAAGCCUAUGAGCUAUCUAAGAUGACCGACCAUUGGAAAUAUACCUCUAGACUUCUGGGAAAGGUUGAAGCUAGAGAUAAACUAAGGAGAUUGUCCACAAAGAGAAGUCAAGAACAGAAUAAGGACUGAACCUGAGGAUAGGAAGGGAAGAUUCAACGAAGGGAACAGAAUGAGCUGCCACCAGCAAGACAGGAAAGUAGAGUGCCCUGGAUUGUAAGUGAAGAAUGGUGCCAUGUGCUGGGCGAGGCUGUCGUGGGGCCUCUGGAACGUGCUCCUGUCCUCACACCUGGCCCUCUCACCUCCAGGAUCCACCUCCGAGAGCCUCAGUCCUCCCAGCAACCUUGCUGACUCCUGCCUGUGCUUUCUCACACUCUCUACGGGGCUAUGACAGCUACCUGUGGUCAUUUGAAAGGGACGGCAGGGAAGAACAGGAGGACAAUUAAGUGGAGUUCGUACCCGACAGCUUCUUCUCUCAAGCGUAGGCUCCACCAUCUAAUGAGAAUGAAAGAGGCCAGCGUAGAAUGAGAACUGCUGCUUUCAUCAGCAAACAAGUCAACCUAUCAAGGAAAGGUGAAAGGACUACAAAACAAUCUUGAAGAGCCAGCUAUACUCGGAAACCAUAAAUGUGGAAAAUACUGCAGAUUGACUCACUUCAAUCUACUCCCACCUUCUAGCUCUGCAGAGUCUGGAAAGCUGAAAAACCACAUUGGGGUUCUGCUCUAGAUUUAGGUUCCUUCAGAUCAUGAUAAACAUGAACCAUGCAAAACACAAAUGGUAUGGUCCAACUGGGUUAAGAAUGAAACUGAACUAAGUGGGGAGAGAAACUAAGUGUGAUGUAGCCACUUUACUCUUGUGGACAGCGGCCAAGGUGGUGUGGUUCUGGGGCCAGCAGUGGAGCAGCAACAGCCAAAUCAGCAGCCCCAUGCCUGGGCUAGGAUGCUGGCCACCCUGGCAGUCCAGUUCCACAGGGCAGCCUUGGGAAUUAUACUCUAGCACAACCUGCUAGGAGCGUUUCUAAGUACCCUCAACAAUUCACCAAGAAAUUUAAUUCCCUGUAAUAAACUGCUUUCUGCUUAAAGUAGGAAGAAUUAGAGUCUGUCCUCGAUAAUCGAACCCUGACCAAUACCAUCGUCAAAGUUGUUCUAAUUUAUCCAGAAGUGCUGAGCCACAUGGGUACAAGAGAAGGGAAGGGUAGGGCGUUUGUGCUAGGUUAGGGGUAUGCAUGGUAGGGCAGAUUACAAAACAGACAAGCCAGUUCAGGGUUCUGAUGUAGGAGUUAGAGAUGAGCCUGGAAUCCAGGCUGAGUGUGAAAGGAAAUAAAGCCACUGCCAACAUACAAGUAGUCAGAGAUAAUGAGAGACACAGACAGGAGGAGAUCAAGACAGAACAAAAGAUAAGCAUUCCAUAGUCACAGUCAAGAAACCUCUUUGACCUCAUUAAAUGGCAACAUAAGGUUAUGAAAUGUAACGAACACCUCUGCAGAAAAUGGCACACUCCUUUCAUACACCAUUUGUAUGUACUUUCCAAACACCAGUGACCUCCCUAGAAUGUCUAGAAAACAUUGCAGACAUUCCAAAAGUUUCUAAAUAUCAUAAUUUUUGCCAAUAACCGGCCAUAUUGACUCUGCAUUUUGGCCUUCAGUAGAAAUCAGGUACCCUCCCUCCCCCGACAAAGCAACAGAACCACAGGAAGCAGCCUAGUUCCCAAUUUCUUAAGCAGGAGACCUGAACUCUUUCCUAGACAGCAUACCUGUGAGAAUACCAAAGUCAAACACAAUGCCCCAAGUAGCAGCUUCUCCUUUCUUGGCGCUGCCCUUAUAAAAGGUUACAAUACACUGACAGGGAAAAAUCUAAGAGCCCUUUUCUGGACAAAGAGGCUCGUUCCCCAGGCUCAACUUAGCCUUCAAUUCUAAUCAGUGGUAAUGUCAAAGUGGUAAGCUGAAUAACUGUUUAACUUAAAAUGUUAGCAUUAUUUAGGCACUGAUAAUAAAAUUUAACAUAAUGAGAAUCACAUAAAAAACUUGGCAGAUUUACCAAAAAUAUUUUCUGUAUCUAUUCCUGGGGGGAAAAGAAGUUAUCUGGAACUAGAAGCACCUUACUGGCUGAAUGUCAGAACCUUUAAAAGUAUCACUGUCCCCUACAGCACAUUAUGACAUUCCUAUAAGUUCUUCUAGCCUCUACUAACUUUAAUUAUAAAAUGCAGAGCCUUUCUAGGGCCUAGAAACAGAGUAAUUCUAAAAUAAAUGGCAGGCCAUUUACAUUUAUUAUAAAUGGCAAUAAAAGUUGUUUUUCCAAAUAGAUAACAGACUCCAUUAUCAUGCCUUUAUAAUGACUCUGACUUCGCUUUAGGAGACUUACUACUUAUGAGAAAUGUGAAAAAGGGCAAUUUUUAAGUUCUUGGAUCCUGUUGAACCAUAUCCCUUUUCACCCACAGAAUAAGAAUUUACAUACAGAUAAGAUAUAAUGCCAGAAUAAUAGGAAUAAGGGGAGAACAACUGACGGCACUGACAUUAAAGGAUGGAGCCCUGCUAGGAUUAAUUUGCACAACUUUAGUCACACUUAUAAGUAAGCCACGCCCUGUACAUUAAUCAUCGAGAAUAAAAUAAGGAGACUUAAAACUAUAAUUCAAUAAAGAAAUUUUUUAAAGUUUUCCAUGGAUAACCAAAAAUAAACCAGUUUAAAUCUCCAAACAUCUCAGUGAUCAGUGUCUUUCAAAAACUUUAGACAUAUUAACUUUUAAGAAAAUAAUAGUUUGAAUAAAGUAUUUUUUAACCUGAAACAGAUUCAACACCAUCUUCUAAGCAUAAAGAGGCUUAAUACUGGUCGAAAUAAAAUAAGGCAUGAGAAAGUUACAUUCUGAAAUUGAAGUAGUUGAUUUUUAGUACCUGUAAAGUAAGCAGUAACUAAUGUUUACCAUAAAAUGCAAAGCUACAUUGCAAGGUUACAUUUUAUUGUAAAACUUAAAUUUUCUUAUCAAAAUACCUUUAAAAGUAUUUCCAAAUAACACAUCUGAAAGUCAACUAAUUGGGACUGCCUUAAAAUAAGCUGCAUCUGAGAUUAUCUUCAAGGAAUAAGUGAUUGAGAUCAAAAAAAAAAAUGUUGACUGUGUCCAAUCUUAUGAACCUGGUAUCCAAAGGAAAGGUGUUUCACCAAGCAAAUUCAUCCUUUAAAGACUUGUGUUCAGAUAUGACACCAAAAGCACAACAAAAGAUAAAGUGGACAUCAGAAUUAAACGCUUUUGCACUUCAAUGAAUGCCAUCAAGAAAGUGAAAAGAGGACCCACAGAUUGAAAAUCAUACCUGAUAAAGCACUUAUAUCUAAUAUAAAAAGAAUUAUUACAACUCAGUAAGACAACUAAUGUAAAAAACGGGCAAAGGAUCUGAUAUGUAUUUCCCCAAAGAAGAUAUGCAAAUGGACAAUACGCACAUGAAAAGAUGCUCAACAUUAUUAGCCAUUGAGGAAGUACAAGUAAAAACCACAAAAUACCACUUCACACUUAUUAGGAUCAUGCACUUGUCUAUAUUCUGUUGCUGUAACAGAACACCAUAGACUGGGUGUUUUGUUUUUUGUUUUCUUUUUUUCAGACAGAGUCUCGCUUUGUUGCCAGACUGGAGUGCAGUGGUGCAAUCUCGGCUCACUGCAAUCUCUGCCUCCCAGAUUCAAGUGAUUCUCCUGCCUCAGCCUCCCAAGUAGCUAGGAUUACAGGCGCACACCACCACACCCAGCUAAUUUUUGUAUUUUUAGUAGAGACGGGGUUUCACCAUGUUGGCCAGACUAGUCUCAAACUCCUGACCUCGUGAUCCACCUGCCUUGGCCUCCCAAAGUGCAGGAUUACAGACGUGAGCCACUGCAACCAGCCCUAUUUUUAUGUUUUUUAAGAGACAGGGUCUUACUCUGUCAUCCAGGCUGGAGUGCAAUGACAGGAUCAAAGUUUACUGCAGCCUCCUGGACUCAAGCAAUCCUCCCAACUCAGCCUUCCAAGUAGAUAGGACUACAGGUACACCACCACACCUGGUUUUUUUUUUUUUUUUUUUUUAAGCGAAAUGGUUUUGUUAUGUUGCCCACAUUGUCUCGAAUUCCUGUUCUCAAGCAGUCUUCUUGCCUUGGCCUCCCAAAGUGUUGAGAUUGCAGGCAUGAGUCACCGUGCCUAGCCCUAGACUGGGUAAUUCAUAAAGAAAAGUUGACAUAGCUCAUGGUUCUGGAGGCUAUGAAGUCCAAGACCAUGGCACUGGCAUCUGGUGAGGGCCUUCCUGCUGUAUCAUGACAUGGCAAGACGCAUCACAUGACAAAACAAUGCAAACACAUGCAUGUCAGUGCAAAUCUCUUUCUCUUCUUACAAAGCCAACAGUCUCAUCAUGGAGGCCUCACCCUGAUGACCUUUAUCUAAUCCUAAUUACCUCCCACAGGCCCACCUCCAAUCAACAUAUGAAUUUGAGGGUGAAGUUUCCAACACAUAAAAUUUAGGGAACACAUUUAAACCACAGGAGAUGAUUAUUUUAAAAAAGGAAAAUAAGUGUUAGAAAUUGGAACCCUCACACACUGGUAUUGGAAAUGUAAACUAAUGCAGCCACUUAGGAAACUAGCAGUUCAUCAAAUGCUUAAACAGUUACUAUAUGACCCAGCAAUUCCACCUGUAGGUACAUACCCAAGAGAAAUGAAAACAUAUGUCCACAUGAAAUCAGUAUGUGCCAGCAUUAUUCACAGACACCAGAAAGUGAAAAUAACCCAAAUAUCUGUUAAUCAACUGGUAAAUGGGAAAAAAAAGGUGACAUAUACAUACAAUGAAAUACUAUUUAGCCAUAAAAAGGAAUGAAGUAUAGACAUCUACUUGGUAUCCAUAGCGGAUUGGUUCCAGGACCUCCUAUGCAUACCAAAAUCCAUGAAUGCUCAAGUAGCUGAUAUAAAACAGCAUAGUAUUUGCAUAUAAGCUAUGCACACCCUCUCAUAUAUUAAGUCAUCGCUAGAUUACUUAUAAUACCUAAUAAAGUAUAAAUGCUAUAUAAGUAGUUGUUAUACUGCAUUGGUUAGGGAAUAAUGACAAAAAUAAGUGUGCAUAUGUUCAGUACAGAUGCAGUUUUUUAAGUAUUCUUAAUCUGUGGUUGAACACCAGAUGUAGAAUGCACCAAUGCAGAGAACCAACUGUAGUAAUACAUACCACAAAAUGGAUGAGUGUGGAAAACAGCACACCAAGUUAAAGCAGCCAGUCAAAAAUGACAUCCCGGAUGAUUCUACUUAUAUGAAAUGUCCAGAAAAGGCAAAUCUAUAGAGACGCAAAGUAGAUUAAUGGUUCCCCUAGGGUAGGGUGUGAAGAUGUGGCGUGAUUAUAGCUAAGAAGGGUGAGGCUUCUUUUAGGGAGAAGAAAAUACUCUGAAAUUGACUACUGAGAGUUGCACAACUCUGAACUCUAAAUAUCCUAAAAACUAUUGAAUUGUACACUUUCAAUAGAUGAAUUAUAUGGUAGGUGAAUUGUAUCUUGAAUAAAGCUGUUUUCAAAAAAGUAUGUGAAAAAGGAGCUUGUUUCCUCCCAAGGAGAUCAAAAUGAGAAGAGAGGAAAGAAUCUGCUUUUCCCCAGAGUCAUCAAAGAGUGCCUCAUGGACGUGGUUUAGAACCAAGAGUUUUGGGAGCUUAAAUGAGUACCAACCAUUAUCUGCAAAAUGUAAAAUGAUAUGCCUCAUACAUAUAUAACCUUUUCUUCAAAUUUAAUUUGUCAUUAACAAAAUAUAAAUUAAUUUAAAUGAAAAAUGCAUUUAAAGACGUACCUACUUAAAUAAUGUCUAGCAGUAGCAAGAGAGGGGAUAAACGGCAUCGGUGAACAUCGUAAAAGACUACAUUGAUGAGACCUUUGGUUUGGGUAAUCCAGCAUUAUCAGUAUAUUUAAAUGAUUCCUUACAUUUCCAUGCUAGGAAUCUACCUUUUGAUUUUCUUAGAAAAAUAUGUCAAACUGCACAAAGUUGUUCACUGCAUGAUCACUUCUACUUACUUUAAAACAAACAAAAAAGACAACCAAACAACCUAACAGCCCAUGACCUGAACUAACUGAACUGUAUAGUCCAUGUGGAAUACUUCAGUCACUAAAAGGAGAAUAGAUCUAUGUGUGUGGUCAUGGAAAGAUUUCUAAGGCACAUAAGUAAAAGAGGGAUGAAAUGGAGAGCGCAUCAUCCUAUUUGUAUGAAUUUUUGAAAUAUAUACUAACAUAAAAAGAUUUUAUGAAAAAAAUACACAAAAAAAAUCAUACCAGUUAUCUUUGAGUACAAGGAUUAGGGGAAGGAGACUUUUAUGUAAUACAUUUUUCUGCUGUUUGAUUUUAACCAAGUUUUUUUAUAUAUAUAAGUAAAUAUUUUAGAAAUCAUACUGCCUUUCCUUUCUGUGUGAAGUUUGGGUCUUGCCACACUAAUACAAGCAACCCAGAUCAUCUGAACUAGAAUGUUAGCAUGAUCUAAAAUGAAAUCAUCAUCAUCAUUUACAAGUAACUUCAAUAUAUAUAUCUAAAAGCAAAUUGUAAGAGCUCAUAAGUGUAGACCUUAAAAUAAGCCUAAUUCUGUUUUAUGAUAUAUUACUUCAUUUCAAAUAAUUCAAAAUAACACCACAAUAUACUAAUCAGAUUGGAUAAAGUGAAAAUAUUUUUUAAAUAUCAUUUGUCAUUUUGCCUCUGGAAGACAUCUCUUUGUUCAACAGUUAUAAUAUUUCAACUACAGAUUUCCACAUUAUUCUUCCCAAUUAUCUUCGGGCAGAAAGUUAAACACACACAGAAUAAGAAUACCAUACCAGUAACACGUUAUUUUUAGGCAGUUCUAUUCUGAAUAUGCUCCACAUAGUAAUCUAAUUUUCACAGCCUCCAGAGGGACAAACAGGAAAAGCACUAUCAUUCCCUUUUUACACAUGCAUAGUGAUAGGGUAUCAAAAUACACCGCAUAUAAUUCAACAUACGACAGAACGACAACUAUAGGUAUACACACCCUCUGUGCCAGAAGUGUUAAGAAUUCAGACAUGAGUUUUCGAUGGGUAAUUACAGCAUUACAUAAUAUUCCUGGGGUAUGGAAAAGCAUACCGUAAUCAAACACAUUACUAUUUCUGCAAAGAAAUGUAUGAAUAUUCACAUCAAGUAGGAUAAAUAAAGACACAGUCAUUCAGGUCAAGUUUUGCUUCUAAAUGAGUUAGGAAACAUUCUGCUGUCAGGAUUUUUUUUUUAUUUUGGAACUACAGAUAUGGGAUUCUGGGCCUAUACUGGACAGCUUUCAGUUGGAAUAUUAUUUUUCUCUACUGAAAAAUAUUUUCUUAUAUGGCAAAACCGCUUUAAAUCUCAACGCUAAAUCCCUGUUUGGAGAGAUGGGUAUGUGAAGUAAAACCUGACAAAGAUCAUCUCAGGGUUUCCUAGAAACCCAAAAGCAUCAUUUUAAUCACAAAACCAGUCGCUUGCUUCCAGCAGCUGUAUAUAAAUAAAAUCAAUAAAAGCUAAGCAGCCAGAGAGGAGAUAAAAUUUAUUGCUACUUAAUUAGCAGCUUCUUCCUUGUUAUCCCUGAAACCUUCCACAUGACAAAUCUGCAGAUAGCUGUCUCCAUUCAUCAGCCUCUUCCCUCAAAUUUCUGUCUUCUCUAAACUGAAGAUCCCCACCUGGUUCCUUCAACCAUUCCCUGUGUGACACUAUUCUCUAAUAUCACCAUGCUGGUCACUCUCUUCUGGAAAUGCUCAUUUGUCAAUAUUCUUCUUAAGAUGUCACACCCAGGACCAAACGCUGCAGCUGCUACCUAACCAGCUCAGAGUCUGGUUACCUUUCUGGAACUGAACAUUAUCUUUACAUCUGACUUAAGAUUAAAUCAGCUUAAGAUUAUUCAACCUAAGAGCUAAAUUACACUUUUGCAAUUGGUGUAAACCCACAGGAAGAAAAUCAAUUAACUCACUAUUAAAGUUUAUAACCACUUUGUACCCAGUAAGUAUAUUUAAAAAAUACUCAUUUCAGUAAUAAACAGAUGUAAAUAAAAGUGAGGUAUCACAGGUUAAAUGACAGCCUGAGAAGCCUCUUGCUUCACAAAAUGAAAAGAAGGAAAACAGGUGGGAUGUAGAUGAACCAAAAUUAGCCAUGAGUUGAAAUUACUUAAACUGAGUGAUAGAUGCAUACUCUACCAUUGCAUGUAUUUACAUUUUCCAUGAUAAAAAAUUAAAUAAAAAAUAAAUGAAUUGAAAUAAUUAAUUUAGAAAGCAGUGUUGGUGAGAAGAUGUAGCAAUGAGGACUCAGUGGAUGUGUAAACUAACACUACCUUUCCAAAGGGCAGCUCUGUGGCGGGAAACAAGACAUACUGUAUGAGCCAGCAAUCCUACUUCAAAGUAUUUACCCUAAACUAACAGAAUUACCAGACAACUGUAUUCAUCAUAGCAUAGUUUAUAAUGAAGAACUAAAACAACUUCAAUGUCUAGUGAUAUCAGAGUAAACUAAACUAUGACUCACAGUGGAAGAGCAUACAUCCAUUGAAAAUAAUAUAUAUCUACAUUUACAGAUUUGAAAACUGGCAAGUUGUGGACUGAGAGAAUACAAAACAGCAUAUAAUUUGAUCCCAUUAGAUAUGUACACUUUUACAUAUGUAUAUAACCAUAGAGAUUUCUAGAAACAUGUUCACCAAAAUGUUCACAACGGUUAUCUCGAGGGAAAAGGAUUUCUGUUGAUUUCUACUUUCUCUACACUUUUAUAUACUCUACAAUUUGCAGUGAACGAGUAUCAUUUUUAUAAACACUAAGCCAUUAGGAGGCUAAAAAACUAACUACCUUAUUAAGUUACAUUAAGAAAUAUUGUACAAUAGCUUCACUAUAUAUACACACAUUAGGAUAGAUAGGUACAGCUAAGUAUAUGUCUGCCCUUUUAUUUGGUUGGCUCUUUAUCCCUAUGAGAGUGUACCCUGGAUACAACCAAGCGAGAUGGUUCUUUCCUAGGCCUCUCAAAGGGGAGGAUGUUUGAUUCAGGCAGCCUAGUCAUGGUUUCUAAAAGCAUGCCACUUUUCCUGUAACAUCAACCUGUUAAGAUUUUUCUGCACAGGAAAAACUAGUUGAGCAGAAUGUCAGAGAAAUUCAACAGAACUGAGGAUUAUCUAUGUAAUUUGUAAAAAAUUUGUAACACAUUAUCCAGCAAUUUUUCUGGUACUUUUGUAACAGAUAUAAGGCUACAUUAUUUAGCAAUAUUAAUAAUUUUACACAGGAAGCUGGUUCAUUUUGUUGAUACACCCUUUAAUCUUUUAUGACACUUCUAUGAUGGAAACGGUUACUUUUAUAAACCUAUUGUCUGUAAUUAAUCAUCAUUUUGGCCCCUGGGAACUAGGAUUACAGAAAAAGAGCUUCUUCACAUGCUUAUUAUAAUAAAAAGAAUCUUAAGUGCCACGCUUAAAUUCUUUAAAAGUAUAUCUAUGUUUCUCUCCUUAAAUUGGUAUUCGUUGAAUAUCAAUGAAAAUAUAAAGUAAAAUUACUUAUUUCAUUUAUAACUGUAAGCAAUAAUCCAUGGCAUUAAAGAAAUACAGAGCAAUAGGUUAAGACGUUAAAUAUAAAGGUUAGGAUCUUAUAUAUUAAAGGUUAGGAUUACUAUAAAACAUGCAAUUAGGAAAAAAACAGGCUAUUAAUGCUCAGAUCACGAAUCCUUGUGUAGUCAAUGUUUAACAUAUGGUCUAUGGUUGUAAGAUCUCAAAUCUCCACAUCAGAAUCUGUGUUUUAAGCAUCACCUGUGAGACUGAAGCAUCACCAAAAAAAAAAAGUGGUUUGGUAGAGAACUUUAAGAUCUUCUUCCCAAGGAACCUAGGAUGCUUUUGGUAACAGUGAUGAUAAAUGCAGUUCCAGAGAAACAUAACUAAUAGCUGCUCCACCACCAGAAUCUACCACACUAUAUGUGGCUUGAAUACAGUUUCCUAAAGCUUGUCCUCUGUUAAAAAUAGAGACAAGUUCAGCAUGGAAAGUUUACCUUCUGUUAGGAAAAAUGAAGCAUGGGAGGACUUUCUUUCAAACGUAAGAAACUUUCAGAUUCUGAAAUCUUGCCGUUUACUUUUUCCUGGGCAUAGGUUUAAUAAAAUUACAGGAGAAAAACUUAAAGCACUGGUCAAAAAAAUAAAAAUAUAAAAACCAGCAACUACCUCAAAUUGAACCCAUUAGGAUGACUUUUCUAAAGAACAGUUUUCCAGUUUCUAUUUUAACAGUAAAAGUAAGAGCCUACUUUUGCUUUGAGUGCAAAACCCAUUUUUAUGAGUAAAAAUUACAGUUAUACAAUGGGAGUGUAUUUCCUAUUACAGGGAAGAUAAAGUAUCUAGUUCCACUUCAUCUUUGAUCACUAGGUCCCAUACUCAGGAGCAAACAAACUUCCAAGAGCCACCUCCUAUUCUUAUCCUAUCCUCCAAACAUUUUACACAUCGGCUUUUUGUAACGACUUUUCAAAGGCUGAAAGUUCAUCAAAUUAACAGGCAAGCAAAAAACUGCCUUUAAGGGAGCUAUUGAGUAGGUAAGGCUUCUAGGGUACUAGUAAAUAUUCUAAUGCUUUGAUUUGGGUAUUAAUUACAUGUGCAUGUCUCUUUGUGAAAAUUUAUCAAGCAAUAUACUAUUUGUCUUCCUUUCCAUAUAUACAUUUUAAUAAAAAUUUACUUUUAAAAAACAUUCUUACAAUCAAAACAAUCUACUCAAUUUCAAAUGCUAAAAGAGAACCAGAAAAAUGACCAUGAAAAAUGAAUCUGACCCUACGACAGCAAUGUGAAAAAGGAGAAAAACAUGAGUAUCUCCCUAGAAUAGAUACCAGAUUUUACUGUGAGGGCCAACAGCCCAUUUACACUCAUUUCUCUCAUGCUUACUUCUACAUGAAAUAGAUAACAUGAUACAAUUCUUGUAACACACAGAGGAAUAUGAGACCAAACGGCUUAAAGAAAUGGACAUAGGUAAUAGAAACCCUGCAAUCAAAAGACAGAGAAGAUGACAUUUUACUGGCUGAAGAAGAACCUUUACCCAACCUAUCUACAGAUCAAUAAACUAUAAACACUGUGCUAGGCAGAAUUCAAAAAUGUUCUGCCCCAUACUCUGGAACCUGUAACUAAAGAUGAGAUCUCACUUCUGUGACAAUGUCAUAUUCUACAGCACAUUUAACCUGAAGGCAGGGAAAUAAUUAAGGUGGACCUGAUCUAGGUACAUGAACCCAGAGUUUCUCCAACUAAAAACGUAAGUCAGAAAUACUCAAAGCAUACAAAGGACCUGACACACCAUUGCUGGUUUGAAGAUGGAGUGGGGCACACGAAAAGGAAUUCAAGUUGACCUCUAGAAGCAGUGUGUGGCCCCAGCUGACUGCCAGCAAGAAAACAGGAGCCUCAGUCCUACAGCCACAGGAACUGAACAUGACCAGCAAUGUGAAUGAGUUUGGAAGUGUAUUUUUCCUUAGAACCUCUACACAUCUUAUGGCCCAAACACUGGCCAAUGUUACCACAUAUUUUCUUCCUAUCUUUUACAGCAAGCUCUGGAAAUUCAAUCGGCACCAGCAGCAAUCGUGAUAAAGAAAAAAGAAUUAUACAACAUAUUCAUUCACUCAAACAUGUAUUGGGUUCCCAUCAGACAUCAGGUACUGUGCCGGAUGCAGGGAAUGUAACAAUGAAUAACGUCUUUUGAAGUUCACAGACUUGGUGAAGACUGAAACUCAGCAAAUGAGUUGGAAUUUGCCUGGCCCUCGGUCGAGUGGGGGAAGGGGGCUAGGAGACAGCAUCACAGUUAAAGGGACCUGCAAACAAAAGGGCAAAACCUGGUCUGGUGCAUUGGUUCACGCCUGUAAUUUCAGCACUCUAGGAGGCCGAGAUGGGCAGCUUGCUUGGGUCCAGGAGUUUGAGACGAGCCUCGGCAACAUGGCAAAACAAAAACAAAAACAAAAAUGAGCCAGGUGUGGCGGCACACACCUGUGAUCCCAGCUACUUGGAAGGCUGAGGUGGGAGGACUGUUUGAACCUGGGAGGUAGACGCUGUAGUGAGCUGUGAUCACACCACCACACCCCAGCCUGGGCGACAGAGACAGAGACAAGGUCUUAUGGGUGGGGGAAAAGGGCAGGUGGGGACAACACAUUAGGUGAAGAGAAGGGAGCAAAAGAGUGCAAUUACCAUAAUCCAGUAUUCUGAAAGUGGCAUGUGAAACCAGGAAGAGAUUACACUGCAAAGGAAAACAAAGCUCAGAUUAUGAAGAUCCCUGAAUGCCACUGAAUUUUUUUUAAAAAAGGAAAGUAAGUGUAGGCAACAAUCUGACCAACUGGAAUUCUUCUACAUUGUUGGUGGAAAUUGUUCCAUUUCCACUGUGGGAGAGAGUUUGGUGGUUCCUUGAAAAGUGAAACACAGGAUUGCCAUAUGACCCAGUAAUGCAACUUCUAGGCAUAUACCAAAAAGAAGAGAAAACAGGUGUUCAAACACACAUACAUGUUCACAGCAACACUAUUCACAAUAGCCAAAAGGUGGAAACAACACAGAUAUCCAUUAACAGAUGAAUGGAUAAACAAACUGUGGCACAUACAUACAAUGGAAUAUUAUUCAGUCAUAAAAAGAUAUGAUGUAAUGACAAAACACAACCCAGAUGAACCUCAAACAUCACACCAGGCAAAAGCAGCCAGACACAAAGUCUUAUUCCUGUAUAUAAAAUAUUCAGAAUAGAUAAAUCCAUAGAAGCAGAACACGGGUGGAUGGUCAUUAGGGGCUGCUUAAUACGUAUGGGACUUCCUUUGGUGGGGGAUGAAACUGUCCCGGAACUAGAGGUGGUGAUCACACAGCACUCUGGAUGUAUUCAACACUACUCAACUGUUCACUUUAAAAUAGUUCACUCGAUGCUGUGUGGCACCUAAGUGAAAAAAAAAAAAAACUUUAGAAAGAAGCUAAUAAAAAUGAUGACCUGUAGAGGGAGAGGGCAAACAGGCUGGGGGAACAAAGGUAUAAGCAGAGCUUCUGUGUAUACAUUCCGCUACAGUUUCACCUCUGAAUCCUGCAAAUAUGUUUACAAUGGAAACAAAGAGAGAAAGAGAGAGAGAGAGAGAGAAAAGGAGGAAGGAAGGAAGGAAGGAAGGAAGGAAGGAAGGAAGGAAGGAAGGAAGGAGAAGGAAGGAAGGAAGGGAGGGAGGGGAAGGAGGGGGGAGGGGAUGGGAGGGAGAGGGGAGAGGGAGGGGGAGGAGGAGGAGGAGAAGGAAGAAGGAAGAAGAGAAACCAACCCACAUUCAUUGCAUUAAAUAUUAGGUUUAAAAAAAAACUUGCGAAAACAUGAAGAAUGUUUCUUUGGAAAGUAACUUCACAUACUGUAUGUAAAAUGUCUUUAACUGUUGGGGAAAAAAACACAACUUGUCAUUCAUGUCAAUGAUUUUUAUAGCGACUCAGUAUCAACCAAAUAAGUGCACUGAGUUCCUACAAUAGGAAGCCAGGUUCUGACAUAUUCUCACCAAUUCACAUUCCUAGGCUGAGUCUCUAGAGCCAGAGGUAGUACAACAGGACAAAGUUCGCAGCUCACAAGGCUGGCCACCUGGGACUCUGUCAUUAGUACUGUACUUUAAGAAACGUUAUGUGCUCUGAAGAAAUCAACUCAAAUUAAGUGACCCAGCAAAAUCAAAGAGGAUUUUCCAACUUGUUUUCACUUUGAUUUUGACGUUUCUAAGGAAUCUGUCAAAAGAAAUUCUAUAGUAUCAUCUUGCUUGUGAAUUUUUUAAAGGAUUUUUAGUUUCAAAAAGAUUUUAUUUCACGUAUGAUGAAUACAUGUAGUAGUUUUCAUUUCAAGAGCCUUCAGUUGAUAAGCCCUGAAAUAUCUUAAAAUUUUAGGAUUGCAAGACAUCCACAUAUCCUAUGUUAUAUUAGCAGAAGUUAAAUUUCAGAAGAAAAAUACAGAAACUGAGCUUCACGAUUGUGUCUGGAGUAUACAGGCAACAUUCAAUUUUUGUCAAGCACAAGGUUUAAAUUAAGACUGCUGAGUCCUAGCUGGAUUUUUUUUUUAACCCACAUUUUUCCUUACAGUACCAACAUACUAAUUUCUCCAAUUCCUGAAACAUACCAAAAUUGUUAAACAUUUUUUUGGUCAAGCUUAUCACUAUAUUAUAAAGUUUGGUCUCACUCUAGAUGCAGCAAAAUAUGACUGGUCUUAUGGUAUUUUCUUUUUUAACAAAGAUAACUAGUUGAACAAAUGCCCUGUGUCAAGCAGGACUUAUUCUGGGAUGGCCAUGAUUAAUAUUAAAACAGGGCAACUGCUUAAAAUAUACAAGAUCUUUGGCUAAAAUCUAGAAAGACCAUAAGCUAACAUCACAGAUGGAUUUAGUUUGAUUUCUGAUUAUGUGUAAAGAACAAAAAUUAGUUAAAAAUGCUUCAUCUUUAGGGUUUUCAUAUACCAACCAAGGUGGGAGCAGGAGGAAAUCAAUAUUAAGGCUAAUUUUUUAACAGGGAACUCUGACACUGAAAUACACAAUUCUGACUGCUACAGAGCAGCAUGUUACUAUAGUAACAUGAGUUCUUACUCCAUAGAAUAUAAAAACAUAUACUUUUAUUUUACUUGUGGCUAUCUCCACAGUUCAAAGUAUGUAUAAUAUGAGAACUUACAAGAGAUAGGGGGAAAAAAAUAGAAAAAAAAAGCUGUAACUGCAAACGAUGGCAAAGAUAUCUGGAAAUGAGACUCAGGUCUCCAGAAUGCUCACCUCCUUCAGCGCAUGUGUGCGGUGGGAAGGACGGGCAGGAGAGAAUGAGAGGGGAGUGCGUGUGUGAAACAGUCAUCCGGAGCUUCCUAAACCCAUACAUCAGAAGAGAAUGAGGAAAGGGGGAAUAAAUUGGGGAGAACAAUUUCAAAAGUGUAGAAGAAUUGUGAUUCUGCCUCAUCAUAUCCCUCCACCACAUCCAGGCAAUUCUAUUUGGCAAGGUGAAAUUCAUUUUUUCGCAUUCUCAGAAAGCCCUGGUCCAUGAUCAAGCUGCCCUCCCUUUCAAUGCUCAAAUUUUCAGAAAAGCAAAUGCAAAAAAAAAAAAAAAAAGACUAAGAAUGGGUUAGAUAUAGGCAAAUGGAAGAGGAAACCAGAUUUGUAAUAUAAAGUAGAAACAGUAUAACUAAAGUGAAAUCCUUAAACAGAACAUUUCAAAUGUAUUUCAAAAUGCUAUAUUUUGAUUUCUUUCACGAUGGAAUGGCAAAAAAGGUACUUGAGUUGGCAAUAAACAGACCAGAGACAUGCAGGCCAUCACUAGACACCCUGGGAGAGGAGAGCAGACCCUCCUUCAUCAAUGCAGUAUACAAUUGCAGAAACUUACAAGGGACAAAAACAUAAGAUUAUCAAAGAGUACAUAUAUGUAUCAUGUAAGUAAUGAAAGCCUGCCAGGCCAAGAAGCCAGAGCAUGUACUCUUGAGGAGAUAAUAAAAAGAAACUUCUAAAAGGUAAGCCAGCUUGGUUAGGCCACACCAGCCAUGGGUGUAGAUGGGAACACACUGAUAAGGAAUUAAUACCUUGAGGGCCACCGGUCUAAGCCCCCAGAUGCUCUUACAGGCACUCAACCCCUUACAAGACCCUCCACAAGCAUUUCUGGGUGCAACAAUCCUGACUCCUACAAGCAUGACAGCUUGUGUCAAAUGAGAGCCAUCCCUCUCCUGUGGAAAAGGGUGGGGGCUUCCCACAGCUAAACUGCUUGUACUCUGAAGCAGAACGUUAAAAUAACCCAGGGAGACAGUUCUUCCAGUUUCUACACACCACAUUUUUCUAUUUUCCACACAUACAUACACCACACCCUGCAUAUCAUUCAUUCUCCGUGAGGCCCCACUGCCAGAGUUGUCAUGCCAAUUAAUUUAACAAUGCGGUUUUUUGUCCUUCCCAUCCCCACCUACUCCCCCCUCAUGAAUGUCCUUCCUCAGGCCACCCCCAGAUAGGCCCACACUGCUAACUGCUUCUGUGGCAUUUCAGCCCCACAUUUAUUCCCGUCUGCCAGGUACCAUCUGUAUCCAAAUCUCAGUUCUAUCCCAGCUGAAAUCCCAAUCACAAAAGGAAUCAUCCUGUCUAGUGACUUGAAUAAAUUUGAUUGUCAAUAUUAAAUUCACUCUGGAGCAUCACCAAGAAAAUAUUCCUUCUUUGUUGAGUUUUUCUAGUACUAAAACCAACAAUGAUGGUACCUAAUGCAAUGGCAAGGGCUAUGCUAGGUCAAUAUAUUCAUCAACAGGCCAAGAAAACUCAAAAAGUAAAAGAAAUAUGUAACAUUUGUUGGGGAUAAGUUCAGGAGGUAAGUAGGAGAGAAGAUAAACUAUGGAAUUGGAAGAAAAGGACAACCAAGGUAAGACAAAAGGUCACGAAACAAGUAAUAAGUAAUGCCUUCUGUGUAUUUCAGUUGAGAAGGAGAAACACAUUAGGGGUUCAUUUGAUCUGAUAAAUUAAUGAGUACAAUAAUAGCUAUGAUUUAUUAAGCAAGACACUGUGCUAAAUACUUUACAUACAUUAUCUCCUCUAAUCCUUACAAAAACCUUGUGAGAGAGAGAUUAACUCUGCUUUACAAAUGAGCACCUGAAACACAGACAAGUGAUUCAACUUGCCCAAGGUCACAAGCUCUUAAAUGGCAGGGUCAGGAUUUGAAUCCAGCUCUACGACUCAUGACACUAUGUUAUAAUGCCAAUGCACUACAGCAGACGGCUUUAAAGCUUAUUUUCUGUGUGUGCAUGUUUGUAACAAGGUAUACCCAUGUGUGCUAAUAUGAAAUGAUCUCUAAGACACAAUAUAGGCGAAAAAUGCGCUGGGACUAGCCUCCAAGCUAAGAGUAUGCUACCAUCUGUAUAAUGUCAAAGGGUUGCAAGGAAAGACAUAUAUAGUUGUAUAUGCAUAAAAUAUCAGCGAACAAAUACUCAUGAAACUGGAAACAGUGAUAGCCUCAAGCAGGGGGAACUAGGGGGCUGAGGAUCAGAAAAGUAGAGACUUUCACUACUACAUUUUGAUAUGGUAUGAAUUUAACCUACUCAUAUUUUGUCAUAAGAAAUAAGCACUGCAUAAUAAAAACUGCAUAAUAUAACCACAAAAACUUAAAAAACUGGAAUGAAAGGUUACCUUAGGCUCCUAGUUUACCAAAGCCAAAUAAAGAGGCUUAUGAACAACAAAAUACUUAUUUUAAUCAAGCAUCCUUUUGAGAUGUUUUCACCUGUUAACAGUGCCUGUCAACAAUGCUCAUAUCCUAAACAUGAACCAAAGGUGCUUCCAUGCACAACAAGGAAAAACCAGCUCCUGUGAACAUGGGAGAAGAGUCUGCAAGUAGAAAAUCUUAAUACAGGUAGGGAAGGAAAAAACGCCACUUAAAGAUAGUCAAUGAAUGGAGAGAGGAAUAGGCAGAAGGAAGCGCCCUCCUGGCAGGCACCCAGGGAACAGCACACAGCUACAGAACAAAGUCAAGCUACAGAAAUGAGGAGCGAAGAUGAAGGGGCAGAAUCAUCUAAAGGAAACAGGGAAAGGAAAAGGAAUUCUUGCUCCCCAAUUAGUCUGGAAAGCAGAUAGAUGAAAACAAAAAUAAAAACACAAGAUGACCAGUUUCAUUUGUUGUAAUUAAAUGUGCAAUAUACUCAGAAAUCAAUACAUGUUCCUUUGCUUGCCUUAAAAACCUUACUUUAAAAAUUACUAUAAUCUUUUAUGUAAAAUAGGAUUCGAAAUUGCUAGCAAUGUUUAUUAAGCACUCCCAUGAUAGCCUUUUUUUUUUUUUUUUUUUUUUUUUUUUGAGACAGAGUCUCACUCUGUUGCCCAGGUUGGAAUGCAGUGGUGCGGUCAUGGCUCACUGCAGACUUGACCUCCCAGGCUCAAGUGAUUCUCCCACCUCAGCCCCUCAAGUAGCUGGGACGACAAGUGCACACCACCACACUCAGCUAAGUUUUUGUACGUUGUGUAGAGACAGGGUAUUGCCAUGUUGCCCAGGCUGGUCUCAAACUCCUGGCCUCAAGAGAUCUGCCCACCUCAGCCUCCCAAAAUGCCAAAAUUAUAGGCAUGAGCCACAGUACCCAGACCCCCAGACCCUUUUUAAAAGGUUUAAAUAGUGUUUGCCCAAAAACACCAAUUCUGUCUAGUUUAAGCAAAAAAGGGGGAUACAAUUGAAAACAAAUACUGUAGACUUCAGGAGAAACUGAACAUCCAAACCUCGGGAUGGGCAAGAACCAGUUCCACGCUGCAGUGAUUUGUAGAGCUCCAUAAAAAAGGGCCAAGAGAUGACAUGGCAGAAAAAUGGCCAGUGAGGCCCCUGCUGUGUACAUCUACUAGGGCAUUCUCAGAAAGUGGCACAUUUCUGUGAUCCAAGCACUACCCAAUUGUUGCCUACUACACUACAGCAUAUAUACAUAAUGCUCCAAUUUACAUUUAUAUUAUAUUGAAUAUACAGGUCAUGCAUCACUUAAUGAUGGGGAUAAGCUCUAAGAAAUGCACUAUUAGGCAAUUCUGUCAUUGUGCGAACAUCACAGACAUCACUUACACAAACCUAGAUGUUAUGGCCUCCUACACACCUAGGUUAUAUGAUAUAUAGCCUAUUGCUCCCAGGCUACAAACCUGUGCAGCAUGUUACUGUACUGAACACAGGAGCCAACUAUACCACAAGUAUUUAUGUGUCUAAACAAAUCUGAACUGAGACAAGGUACCAUAAACAUACAGAAUUAUAAUCUUUCAGGACCCUUAUAUAUGCAGUCUGUCACUUACCAAAAUGUCAUUAUAGGGUACAUGGCUGUACUGAAAGUUUUAAAUACAAAAUUUAUGUAUAUUUAAAUUUAAAUUUAGUCCUAAUUUUCAUUUACAACUUCAUGCCUCAAAUUUUUUAUGCAUACUAUCUACCAUCUACCAUUAACUUGAAUGUAUGAAUUGACUCUAUAUUAGAGUUGUGGGGAGAAUUUGACACUAGAAUCAUAAAGAUUAAACAGCACUAACCAGAAAUCGAUGGUACAAAUGUGUUUAUCAAUCCAUCUUUCAAAGGAGUUUUUUAUUCUUAUAAUGAGCCUGUAACUUAAAAUAUGGCAUGCUUUUUUCCAACAGAUGAACAAAAUAAGGCCCAAAACAAUAAUUCAAGUUCCCUCAAAUAGGAAACAAACAAACAAAAUCCCAGGUUCCCAUUAAUGCACUCUCAGUCUGAACCACUAAACAACUUUAGUACCAUAUUCUUCCUAAAAUCCAGUAAUAAUACAUUAUGGUAAAUAAUUCUAAUUGCUUUCAUAAUUUUUAAAAAGUUAUAAAUGCUGAAUGUUUGAAAACUUAGAACAUUCAGGAAAAAAAGAGAAAUCCCUAUAACAGAGAUAAGCACAUUAAGUAGGCUGGUCUAUUUCUUAAUCAUACUCACUGCAUCAUAUUAUAAAACAGUAAUUUCUUACCUGUUUUAUAAUAUGCGACUUCCACACCCUUUUCUACUUGCAUGUGCAUGCGUGACCCUAUGUCAGAGAAAGCUGGUACUUGGAGACUCCCAGGAAGGGCUGUUCAUGUGGAGAGGACUAGGAACAGGGGCUCCAGAGACAGGGGUGCACUCAAAGAUCAGUUCCACCACUUAUGAAGUGAGUGACCUUAACUUCUCUGGACCUCAAUUUCCUCAACUAUAAAAUAGGGUUGUAAGGAUGUAUGAUACUGUAUAACUUGAAGGCCUUAGCACAAUGCCUGAUGCCAAGAAAAGCACUCCGUAAAAACAAGCUAGUACACUCUACAAAGAACUCUAACCUCAUUUUUCACCUAAUAUAUUCAGAAAUCCUUCCAUGUCAAUUAGAGCUACUUCUAAACAUCCUUUUUAAUACUAACAUUGUAGUCUUCUCAUGUGCCACAUCAGCCACUGUGAAAGCCACCAGAAGCAUUCAGGUCCUCAUCAUUUGUGAAGGUCACCUGCUGUUGACGAACACAGAUAGGGAUGGAGGACUCUAGCCAACCCAGCUUGCUCCCUAAAGUAAGGAAAAAGUCAGAGUGGGUUAGGACUCCCAAUGUUUCCUCACUGGCUGAUUUGGGACAAUUCACAGGCCAAAUGAGGUUUAGUUUUAAAAAAAAAAAAGUUUUUGUUGCCAAUAGGAUGUAUGAUGAAAUUCACGUUAUUCACCCAAGAAAGAGCAAUUUUUGAAGUAAAGCAAUUGUGGGUUUAAAAUAAAACCUCUUAAGGCAUCUCUACAUCUAAUAAAACACUAGAUUAUAAUAUUUUAAUUGCUAUGAAGUAUUCAUCUAUAUAAAAGCAUAACACAACUUAUAUUUCAUGCUUUUCAUUCCACAGAAGACAGCAAAGUUAGAGAUGCAGAUGGCCUCUGUCUUUCCAACUAUAACAUUCCAUGAUACAGAUAUAAGUAAUUUUCAAAAUUCAGGAAUUGAUGAGCAUCAACCAAUCAUAUCAAGUUGCCACAAAAAUGCAAAUGGCUACAAUCUCAUCUGUAACUAACUCUCAUCCACUGAGCUGCUCCAUCUCAACCACUUGCCUCUUUGUGUAUGCUUUAUCUCAGCUCUGAACAGUGCUUCACCCUGCACAUUUAAUCUAACUCUCUGCUGGCCAAGAUCCAAGUCCACAUUUCCUACAGCUAUGACAAUAAGACCCUAAUUCAGAAUGUAAAGGUCACUUGGAAUGUACUGGCUAAAUAUGAAGGUCUUGAUGUUUGGUCCUUUGGCAAGAAUCCUGUUCUGAUCUAGGUGUUGGGUUCCUCACUCCUGUUGAUCAGCAGCUUUCCACCUGAAUCCUUCAUCUUUGUAUUUCCACGUGCCAAUCUGAGUCCCCAGAUUCCAACAUGGCUUGCCUAUAUGUAUCCCUGCUAGGGUCCUAUUUAACACUUAUCUACCAGAUGCUGAAUCCCCUGUAUGGCUUAAAGGGCUCUCCAGGGUCAUCUGCACAUUGGCGCUGUAUUUUUUGGUGUGUAUGCCCUAAUAAACUAUAAGCUCUCUGAAGGAAGCAACUGUUAUUGAUCACUAUACCUUUAACACAGCACUUUAUUCACUGAGGCAUUAGAUGAAUUAACUCCUGCUCACAUACAUUUUUAAAAUUUUGACAAAAAUUUGUAUAUAUUUAUUGUGUACGACAUGUUUUGACACAUAUAUAUUGUGAAAUGGCUAAAUAGAGCUAAUUAUAUGUAUUACUUCACAUACUUUUUUGUGGUAGGAAUACUUAAAAUUUACUUUUAGCAACUCAAGAAUAAAACAAGUUAUCAUUAAUUAUAGUCACCAUGUUGUACAACAGAUCUCUUGAAUUUAUUCCUUCUAAAUGAAAUUUUGUAUCCUUUGACCAACAUCUCCCAAACCCGUCCCUACUGCUUACACUCUCGCUAAUCCGUUAAUCUGCAGUAUGAGUACUUGUAGUGGAAACUGCUGACACUUUUCUCAAACUGCAAAGCAAUUACAUAUAAAUUUAAGGGGCACAUUGCAACAAUGCUUCCUAUCAUUUAGCACUUUACAAUCUGUACCUCACUCCUGGGUUCAAUUUCUUUCUUUUUGAAGUGCAUUUUUUAGUAGUUCCAACUACUAAUCAUCAACUUUGUUUUUUAUCUACAACCUUUAUUUCACUUACUUUUGAGAUGGAGUCUCGCUCCGUCGCCAGGCUGGAAUACAAUGGCGCAACCUCAGCUCACUCCAAUCUCCGCCUCCAGGGUUCAAGCAAUUGUCCUGCUUCAGCCUCCCAAGUAGCUGGGACUGCAGGUGCAUGCCACUGUGCCCAGCUAAUUUUUGUAUUUUUAGUAAAGAUGGCAUUUCACCAUGUUGGUCAGGAUGGUCUCGAUCUCUUGACCUCGUGAUCUGCCCACCUUGGCCUCCCAAAGUGCUGGGAUUACAGGCAUGAGCCACCACACCCAGCCAUUUCAUUUACUCUUGAGUAUCAUAAUACUUUAUAUGGACAUGGAAUUCUAGGUUGGUAGUGGAUUUCCACUUCCAGCCUUUGAUGUUAUUAUUCAAUCAUCUUCUGCUAUGAACAAAAUGCCUGCCAGUCUAGACAUCAACUUUCCUCAGACUGCUUUCCUCUUAUUUUCUAAGGCUUCAUCUACAAUAUGUCUAGGUAUGAAUUUAUUUUUAUUUAUCCUGUGUGGGGUUUACUACGGUUCUUGAAACUAAGAGCUCAGGCAGAACUUGUAUUGAUUAUGAAAACUUCUCAGCCAUUCUAUCUUCUAAUAGUGUCUCUCCUACUCUAUUUCCUCUUUCUGGAAGCUCACAGAAGGUAAUAUGAGACUUCCUCAUUCUAAAGUUCAUGAAUUGUAACCACUCAUUUUCCAUUUCUUUAUCCCUUAUUACUGUAUUCGAAGAAAUUUCCUCAGAUCUCCUUUAAAAAUCUAUUGAUUUUUCAAUACAGUUUUUAUCUUCAAUUAUAUCUACCUGGCUCUUUAACCUGUCCAUUGAGGUUAUUUUUUUUAAAAAAAAACACUUAAUGACCAUUAUUUUCAUUUCUAGAAGUCCUACUGGGUUCUUUUCCAACUCCAUGUUAUUUUUCUAAUCUGUGCUCUUUCAUUAUGAUCUUACCCCUUUCAUCUCUCAUAAUUUUAAGCAAUUAAUCUCUUUCAUAUAUCCUAUCAUCUCAAUCUCCUGGAAUACUAUUCAUCUGCUAACUCUCCUUCACGGUGAUUCAUUUCCUUGUGUAGCUGGGCAAUUUUUGUAUUGCAAGCUCAUCUAUAGCAUGACUUGUUUCUUCUGCAAGAGUCUUAGAUUUUUAAUUUGCUCUGCAGGUCAGUUUCAGACCUGAGGGCUCUAUUCAUUUCCAUAGUUCUAGACCAGAUUUUAUGCUAAUUUGUCUCAGCUUGAAGGUUAGUUGCACUAUAAGAAAUGUUAAAUUUGAAUCCACCCCAAUUAUGAGGUGCAAUCUUGGAGUUUAGAUGUCCCUUUUUUAUUCCUAAUGAUCACAACCCCAGGAGGACAGCAAGUUUCCUACACUUUCCCAAACCAGUAGGCAAAGUUUUUCUAGUUCUCUUUUCACAGAUGGAAAAGCCCUUCAAGGUUUGAUGCUAGAGAACCUUUACUCCACCUUCCAAGUCUAUGCAGACCCAAGGCCAUGCCUCCUACUCCUCCAUGAGACCCUCAGGACUAAGCCAUUGGGGCGUGUAUUCAGAUCAGAAACCACCACAGGCCUUGAGCUCCUGAUUAACGCCCUAGCUCUGAAUUUUCUGUUCAUAGCUGGCACCUAGGGAUUCCCUGGUAUUUUAAACUUCAGAAACGCUUGUUUGUUCUUGUUAUAUUUUGUCCACAGUUUCUGUGUGUUUAUAGCAGGGUGGUGAAGGGAGUCCUCCACAUUCAGCUUUGGUGACAAUGUUGCUAGAAGCCUCCACGAGUCGCAACAUAUGAAACAGAAAUGAUCACUUCAGAGAAUUGUGAUAAUUACUUACCAUUCUGCCAAAUGACAAUUUUUUUUCCCAGCCUCAAUAAUAGAUUUCAAAUUUGGAAAAAAUAUUCCCAAGGUAUUUUAAGAUCAUUUUUGUCACUAUGCAUUUCAAAUGCCUCCAUAGUUCUCUUUCCUUGAGAAUUUCAAUAGAACAAGAACAUACCGGUUGACUCUUUUCUCCCUACCCAUUCAUUCCAUAAUGAACUUCAAUCUACUUUAUACUCCUAGAACUCCAGUGAGAUUGAGCUCAAAAAGAUCACCAUUACCCAUGUAAUCAACAAAUCCAAUGGCCUUUUGUUCUCAUCUAUUUACCUCUCUAAGCAAGACUGACCAUUCCAUUUUUUCCAUCCCAAUACUACUGCAGUUCAAAUAUUAUUUCUAUAUUAUCAUAACCAUUCCCUAACUCAUCUCCAUCACUCUACUCUCCCCCCAGGCCCAUCGCCCUGCAAUUUAUCCAGGUUGUAUCCCAGCCAGGCUAAUAUUAGUAUAAUACCUCUCCAGUUAUGUCAACUGUCCAUACUCCCCACUCUACUACCGUGACUCAUCACUCCCUAAUAUUACAGGAAAAGAAAAGAUAAAUAAGGCAGGAUUCCUCUACACAAAAGAAUAAAUAACACCACCUAACACUUACUGGAUGCAUGCUAUGUACUUGGUAAUGCGAUAAAAACACCUUACCUACAAUCAUAUCAAUCAGCCCUCACAACAACUACAGGAAGCAGGCAGAAUCAUUACACAAUUCUUCAGGGAUAAGAAAAGUCAAGAUUAAUGAAGAUUAAGUAGCCAACCCAAGGAUGCAAAGCUAGCAAGUGGUUAACUUUGUUUUAUUUUAUGCCAAGCCUAUCCUCUUAAACAGUAUGCUAUACUGUCUCCACAAAUAUUUAUACCAAAAGCCCAGACCCUCCUCUGGUUGCAAAAUUCAUCUAUCCACACAACUUAACAGCUCUGUCUAGAUGCCUCAAAGGUCCCUCACAUUAAUAAAUUCAAAACCAAACUAAUGAUCAUGCUGCCCAGAGGUGGUCCAACCUCAGUGAAUGGUUAUACUAGCCAACUAGUCAUGCAAGCCAGAAACCUGGACGUCACCUUUGAUGUUUUCUCAUUCACCUUCCAUACCCAACCCAUGACCAAAUCCCAUGUAUUUUUUGCCUCUUAAAUCCCUCUCUAGUGCAUCUACCUCUCUCCAUCUCCAGCACCACCACCUAGCCCAAGCUGCUACUUUCUCUCACCUCAAUUGUUGUUACAGUCCAACACAUCUACAGUCAUUCAUUCUGGUUUCUUCCAACCCAUUCUCAAUUUUGCAACAAAAAUAAUGGUUUAUUCCCCCCACUCAAGAUGACUUUAAAAUACAAAUCUGAUCAUUUCACAGAUUUUGGACUCAGCACCAAAGCUUUAAGUCUAUCUUUGAGGGUCUGAAGCAAUAGGAAUGCAAAGAGUGGUGACAGCUGGGUUUCAGCCACAAAAAGAAAGCAAUUUCCAGUGAAUCCAGAAUGAUGCCAGCACAGACACAGAAGCAAACUGAGAGAUGAUGGCCAAAAGGACAGUACCCGGGAGCUUUUGAGCAUGUGGCUCUAGUUAUUCCCUAGGUGGAAGUGAAUACUAAACUUGCCAAAUGUAAAGAAAUUCUCCUAAUUAUACUGUGAUACCCCAGGACUCCUACAAUAAAAUCCUUUUUUUCUUAAGUAGUUCAGACUGAGUUUCUAGCUUGCAACCAGGAGUUUUAGCUAAGACAACCAUUUUAGAAGAGCCAAGACAGCACGCUUAGAAAAAGGGAAUAUGCCUACAAGGCAAAAAUAAAACAAAUUCUACAUAGAGUAAAAAUACCUUUGGCCGGCAAAUACAUAAAUAUGCUUAAUGUUUGUGAACUCAUGUAUCUCUUCCUUUUAAAGGUGUUACAUAAAAUGCUUUAGGGUAACAGCCAUGUUUUCUUUUAUGUUCUGCAAAUCAUUACAGCUUACUGUAAGAGCUGAAUAAAUGCUGAAUAAAAAAAAUCAGAAGUAAAAGCAUGACUAUACAAUAAUAUAAAUCAAAGUUGCAUCCCUGGAAACUUGCUCCCUUUGGGAACAGUUUAUACACUCAUGUAAAAAAAAAAAAAAAAAAUCUUUUUCUAGUGACACUCUGCCACUAUUCUAUUACCUGGUUUUGAUUUCACAUAGCUGGGUAUUAUAAACUCGCCUUGCUCUUAGCCAGAAAUUGUACAUGUUACCUAAGCAUACUAAAAAGUGGUGAAUCAUGGAAGGAAAAAAAAAAAAAACUUGGCUGUGGAAACCACAGAUUAUAUCCUAUAUGAACACUUUUUCUGUUGCCAUCUGGUGGUUUGUGUAUAAAAAUCAACACUGACAUCCAUUGUAUAGAAGGGCUUGGUCAUACCCUAUCAAAAUCUCUUUCAUUCUUUUUGCAUCGCGCCUAACACCUAGAGAGAAGACAAAACUGACCUUCACUUUGAAAACAGGCUCACAAACACACAAAAUAAAUUAAGGAUCACACCAGAGAGAGGGACUCACAAAUACUACCACCUGUGGAAAUCAGCACCCUUAGUUAAGUAUGAUAGGUUAUACCUUUAUGAUACAAAAUCCCUCCUUACUCUAAAACUGAAAUAUAUUCUAAUUAGCCUGCUUGGGUUGCUAAAAUUCCUGCUACCAACUAUUCUUAAUAAAGGCAACUACCAGAGCUCCCCAAGUUUCCAUAUUCCUCCCCAAAUCACCAUAGUCAUUACGUGGUUAUCUCCCUCUAUUUUUUUCUCAUUGGAAAGACUAUUCAUCGUUGUAAAAUUAAGCUUACACACUUGAGAGCUUCCAACCCCCUCAAGGUAAAGAAUUAGGUCUAGAAUACCAUGGAGAGUUAUAGAAAGGAGAAAAGGCAACCAAACACUGCACAAAGACUAAUUCUACGUAAUAAUAUGGACCCCAGGGUCUAGCCCAUUCUUUGAACCCACAACUCUAAAGCCUAGCCUUAUCCAUUUAAAAAAAAUUUUUUUGAAAAUGAACCAAAGCCAAAAACACUGCAGAAACUAUAGUCUUACCCAUGUUCAUCUACCUAAUCUCCAAAAAUCAGAAAUAGAUUUACCUGACUAUCUGUUUUCAAGAAAUUGGACUAUUUAAUUGAUAGCUGUUAUCUUCACUAGACAUUGUCUGUAUAUCAAUAAAGUGCCAGUUAAGCCUGUUAAAGUGAAAAAUUACUGUGUUAAUUUUAAAGACCCUUUGUUUUACUAAAAGCCCCUAAUGAAGACAAUUAAACCAACAUAACAUUAUGUUAAGCACAAAAACAGACAUCUACUAAUCUCUUUCAUUACUGAUGGUCACUGUACAGUAAAUAUAAACAUUCUCAUCCAUCGCCAUUUUCUCAUAUCUUUUUAAGUUUCUCACUGCAUUAAUUACCUCCAGAUUUGUUAGCCUUGCCCCUUCUUCCAGCCAUGUAUAUAAAUAAGCAUCUCACAUUUUAAGAAAAUUUAUUUCUCCAAAUUUCAGGCUUAUACUGAUAAAUUAUGGCACCAAUUUGUUUUACAGAACCUAAAAUUUUGAACAUGAACCAUUUUUAGGCUAGAGUAAAUAUAUCAUGUGUUAGACGGCAGCACCUAAGGAGAAAUACUACAUUGCAUCUUAGUUGUCUUCAACAUUGUAAAUACUCUGAGAAAAGUAAAAUGAAGAAAAUUAGGUUCUAAGCUAAGACAUAUGGAGUUACAGAAUCCCCAGACAGGAGACACAUGCAGACUCUAGUGAAGGGCAGAAAGGAAGACAACAUAUAGAAGAUCAGAGAAUCAGAGUAGAACAAUUCUGAACAUCUAGUCUAAUCCCUCCUUUUAUAGGUGAGAAAACAGACUCAGAGAGACUAAUAGACUUCCUCAUAUUGCACAGUAGUUACAGAAUGAAGUAUAAACGAGGCCUACUGAUACUUAGCCCAAUGUCUUUUCCAUUUACUAUAUCCAUGUUUCUAGGAAAGCUUUAUAAAAACUGCUUUCAUUCCCACAAUACCCACAGGAGAUUGGUAUCAGGCUGAUGGAAUGAGUUUCUGGCUUUGGAGCUUUCUGUCAGGAAGCCAACCACCUAAACACUAGAAUUGCACAUACAUAAACAAGGGUUCCCUACAGCAAUGCUCCCAUAAUAAUCAUGAUUUUUGUAUUUGGAUUUAGUGGCAACACUGUUCACAUAAUGAAGCUCUAAGAGUAGUAACCUCUCCAGAACAGAUCUCAGGUAUAGGAUCAAUAACUGGCAGGUAGGUAUCUAACUGUGACAGACUUUUGCAUUUCAGGGAUUCACUGAAGAACCUAUAGCUUCUUUCUACUUGCUACCAUAGGAUGGCAGGAGGUGCCAUAUUUGCUGUCCCAACUGACAAAAUAUGUCCUCCCUCAGGAUUAUGGCUACGAACGUUUAUGCCCUUUUUUUAAAAAAAAGAGGUGUACAUACUUAGGGGGAAAUUUAAGAUAAUGCCUUACAGAAAUGAAGUCAAAUAAAAUUUUAGAAACUAUGCAAAUUAAAAUGCUCGGUUACUUUGGGUUAAAUGUAUAAUUGGGUACCAGGAGUAUUUAAUCAAAUAACAAAACAUCAAUAGCUUUCUUUUGUAAAUAAACCUUAAUUUUUCUUUAUACUACACCUUUCAAUGUGAUUUUCAUUCCCCACCUUGAGCUUAAUUCAACUUUCAACGCAUUUGGACCUGGAGGUCUACUCUCAUAACUACCACUUUCUUUACUUCUUAGAGAAAUUUAAGCCGUGACCUAAUCAGAAUCCUCACUUUGUGUCCAUUCCAUUCUCUAGUUUCAGUCAGCUGACAUUACCAGUCUCUGAUCUCUGGGACACCGUAAGGCAGGCAGGCAGAAAGACACUACAUGCCACACACCUCUGCCACCUUAGACGCCAAAUCCUAUGUAUUCCAAUACAAGCAAUACAGGGGCUCUGAGGAUGGAAAUAACAUAAAGGCAACUGGUAGGGAGAAUUAAACUACACAGUCUUACCUGAUAUCACUUAAUUACCCACUUAACUUGCAGCCUUCCACGUUGUUUUAUCUCAGUAUUUGAGGGCCCAGGAAACUUCUGGUUAGGUAUAAACCCCAGUAUAGCCUAAACUUAACUGUUUACAUAAAAUGUGUGCUAAGGCAAACUAAUAAAAGAUCAGUACCUUACAAACUCCACCUCCUUUAGUUAAAGGACUCAAAUUCAUACACUUCAGUGCAGAUAAAAGAAUUUUCCAAAUGUUCCUCAAAUAAAUAGUUGGUGCACUCCCAGUAGUCCAUUCUGGGGUGGUCUAAUCUCUGCCAACAGACCAUCAUGAAGCUGGAAUUCAUGUUAUGUUAUGAAAGAAAAAUUGGGGUAGGGGAAUACAUCAAAAUGGUGAUAGUCAUUUUCUUAGAGGAGACGAAUGUGUAGAUGGAAGGGGUUACAUACAUCCCUCAUCUCUAUUUUCCAAAUUAUGUAAUUUUUAUUUUGCAAUCAUAAUCGUAAAUAAGGUUUAUCUAAAACUUGAGGUCAGAUUACUCAAUACUGUUUUUAGAAAAUAUCAACCACCGUCUUUCCCUUUGGUACAGAUCUGAUUGCUGCCCAUUUUUCCCUCUCCUUAUAAAGGCAGAGGCUACAUGGGAAACGCUCCAGCCCAGGGGUUAUGAACUCAAGUUAUGUUCAGACUCUGGAUCAGACUUUUCAUUCUGGCAUCACCACUCCUGGUCCUGGGACCUCAGGAAAGUUAGUUAACAUCUGAAUGCCUCAGUUUUCCCAUAGGUAAGAUGAGAACAAAAAUGCUGUCUACCUCUCAGGAGCUGCUGUGAAGAAUAAAUGAGCACUUAGUGCUUGGCACGUAAAGGUUCAAUAAAGGACAGCUACAGGUGGCUAUGCAGACUGCAUAGAGGGUAAUAACUGCUUAUUGUUGGAUUUGGAAGACAGUAACCAACCAAGAGACCAGUUGUCUGUUAAAUACCCAGUGGCCUAAUAAAAUUUAAUUAACUAUCUGAGCACUCACUAAGCAAGACUCUUUAUUAAGAUGAUAUUCAAGUAAGGGAGUCUAGAACUCAAGUUCCAGUUGAAACUCAAAUUACAAAGUUGUAAAGGGAGUAGGUUAGGAGGAGGGGAAGCAAAGUACUUCUGGAUUAAUGGAAAGCAACAUGGGCCCAAAAGGAAGCUAGAUUUGUAGUGAACUCAACACUCUAGCAAACAAGUGGCAGAAAUGCCUAAUUAGUACACCCUGUCCAAGGCUGGGAAUUGGCCUGAGAAAAGUGACCCAGACCACAGAAAAAUCAGGCUAAGGAUGACAGAGAAAUUGAGUGACAUUAUGGGAUUAACCAACACGAGGAUUAAAAAUAAAAAAUAAAAAAAGUAACACAAACAUACAAGAAUCACUUGAGGAGUUUUUAAAUGCAUGCUUCUGAGAACCAACUGGUCUGAGGUGGAGUCCAGAUAACUGUAUUUUAAAUUUUCACCAGUGAUUCCGAUGUACACCUCAGGCAGCACAAAGCAGGGGCUCAACAGUUUCAGUAGGAAUAAACGAUACAUAAGUGAAAAGCUAGUGUACUCUGUUGAGUUUCAAAUCAUGAACCUGGAACAGGUGUAAGUGAACACAGGCCCAAGGUCCAUAAAAGUCACUGCAAUUGUUGGGGGAGGACAAUAAGCCCAGGAAGGCAUGAAAGGGAAAUCAAGCCAUGUGGCCUCACGUAAAACCAUUAGAGCAGUGGUUCUCAAACUUGGCUAAACAUGAGAAUCACCUGGAGGGAGGAGGGGGUGUCUCAGCAUCCUGAUGCCCAGAUCAAACCUCAAGUUUAUUAAAACCAAUUCUAGGAGUGACAUCCAGGCAUCAGAAGUUUAAAGCUCCAGGUGAUUCCAAUGUGCAACCAAGUUUGAGAAACACUGGGCUAGAGAGUUUCCAGGAAGUCAGCAGGUGUCUGGAAUAGGGGGAAACACAAGGUAAUAAGUGAGUAGUUCUCGAAUUCCAAUGUGUAUUAUAAUCACAUGGAAAGCAAAUGUGGCUCAUGGAAGAGGAAGAGUAGGUACUCUACAGCUUCAUCAAAUUCCCCAGGUGAUUCUAACACAUACCAAAGCUGGAGAACCAUAGGUCCAAGUGGAGACAAUUUCAAAUGAGAAACUGAGGACUAUGAACAAACAGCCCCAUGGACAAGAACAUUCCUAUCCUUUCUAGGCCUGAGGAAUGCAAGCUGAAUCUAGGAGGUCUACUGAACACUGCCAGAAUCAGUAAGCCUGUAAAGAGUCCAGCAGUAAAGCUAAAGGCACCACGGACUUCACACAUAAGACUGCUUAUACAUCUUUAGCCUCAGAAGUCAUCCUUCCAAACCACUCACAGCUGGCUCCUUGGUGGAUGGCAUAAAGAAAGCAUGUGUUGCCACCUGCCUUCCAGAAUUAAAGACUUGGCUUUUUAGGAAUCCGGGAAAGUCACAAGCAAUUAAACACACAGCAAUAAGCAGAGCAUACAACUCAGAAAUUCUCAUCACCGCAUAGAAAGAAGAAACUCCAGGGCAUAUUAAAGUUACAUUUGGAAGACCUGAACCUGGCGGUUCCCAUCAUGAUCAGUUACAUAGAGGGUCUGUAACCUAGGUUAUAAAAAUGUAACUUUUACUGAUCAAUGUCGCACGUUUUUUCUCAAAAUACACGACCUAGCCUACUUACAUGAGGUGCAGAGAAAUUAGUCAUAGCUUCACCUAGCUACAAUGUAAUAAUAUGGUACUUAGGAGGCGCUCCAACGUAGUGGUAACUAUUCCAUUUAGAAUGUUACAUCUGAUAAGAUUCAAGAGAAUGCACUCCUGCACAUAUGACCAACUCAUCAUCCCAUCAGAAAUCUCUUAUAACAGCACCAGAAUUUUCAUUUUCAAGAUACAUGAGCUUUUGUCAAAUGGUGACAUCUCCUCUGUAAUAUGAAUUUUCAAUACGAUAUAAAAAAAGAUGGAUAUAUUACACAUUUCACAGAGCAAAGAGAACAGAAACCCGUCAAUGAACUUAAAAUUUGUGACAACCUAUCUGAAAUUUUACACUAAAAGAUCUGUACACUUUCAUAAGCCAUAUAAAUGUAAAACAGGUACCAAUGUUUUUACUGCCAAAAAGGAAUAAAAUAUUCCUAACAAAGUUCGGUUGUUGCCUUAAUAUAUUUUUAAAAUGUAUUUUCAUUAACAUUUCAGUUGUUAAAAUGCAAUGCUUUACACAACCUUCAAAGUGCAACUGAUAAAAACUUGAAAUCUAUGUAAUAUACUUCAAAACAAAGCCACUGGCAGAUUUUUUCCCCACCAUUUCAGUCUGUGCACCAAUCUUCAAAUGUAUGAACGUACAGGUCUUAGUGCAAAAUGCAAGUCACUGUUUAAAAAAAGAAAACUUAAUAAACACAUUAUUUUAAAGGUCAUCCUAAGUGAUUUAGAUUUCUUCACUUGAACCUGGUUGCUCUAACAAUCUACAGAUCCCACUGUACAAAAUGACUUAAUAAAUGCUUUUCUUCCAGAGUAAGUCAUUAAGCAAAAAGCACAAAUAAGUGAAAUGAAAAUUUUCCAAGUAAUGGAGGAGUUAAAUUAACCAGAAAUAUGGCAAUUUGUUUUCAUGUAGUAAAACAUAAGAGGGAGCAUUUAUGAAAGCUGGAGGGGGGUGGAGGGGCACAAUUUAGAUAACGUUACAUAAGCAUCAAUAAAAAAAAGUAUGAGUUCGUUGUUAAGCUAUUGGAUGAUAGUUUUGAGCUCAGACCUUUAAAAUGUUACAACAUUUAAGUCAUGUUACUACACAUAAAUCAUCUUCACAGGACACAGAACACAGCUAAUUUAAGUUUAAUGCUCUCAUCUUCGCCAAUCUCAGAAUAUCGAGUUCCUUACCAUGAUUGUUCGUUAGCUGUAUCUUGGAAUACAACUAAGUUAAUUUUCCUAAAACUACCAUCAGCAAAACCAGUUCACUAAUGUGUUUUAAAGACGUUACCAAAGGACGUAUUAAAAUAGUUAUUUCUGGGUUGAGGGGGGUGUUUUGGUUUAAAGACCAGCAAACUUCAAAAGAAAACGAUGCUAGCUGGCAGGGGUACGUUACGGGUUUUGUCGGGGGCGGGGAGGGGGUGGAGGGAAGCCCAGAUUUGGGAAGGAAAGCUCGUUUCACAAGAGAUCCCAUCUCUCGUUUCAAAAGGUCAUUUCCAUUCAGCAGAUCCUCUUUCCCUAUUUCAGAGCUCACCACUGUAUUCUAAACAGAAGCCAAUAGAGGGAGAAAAACAAAGCCAAGUGCAAAAGCUGUGGGCACUGAAAGUUUUGCUCCACCGGCCGCGCAGCACCCACUUGGGGUCGGGCUUUGGGACUUGGGGGAGUCAGGAGCAGGCGGGGGCUGGGGAGAGGACGAGGCCCUGGGGAGGGGCUGGAAAAGGCUUUUCACAGCGACUGGCACUUGAUAUUUCCAAGUCUUCUGGAUGUCACUCACCGGAAACCAGACCCUGCGGUGCGAAGACUCAGGUGGCAAAGGCAAAAGCUGGACUGCAUUGUGUGGCCCCAGGGAGCUGCAGACAGAGGAACUGAGUCCUGGCCACUGUGCCUGCUGUCUCUUACAAGUUUAGAGAUGCUGGCAUUGCAUCGAAAUCGGACAACACUCCCUUCCCUCCCUUCCCAGGUACUCCAUUCCCAACCUUUUCCACCAACAGGUCCUUAUUCUCAGAAGCCAAAAAUAAUUUAUUGGUUUCCACUGUUCUCCUUGGCUGAAUCUUCAAGUACACCAACUCCCCCCUCUUCUGGACAGACUCUCCAUAAUUCAGCCAGCAUCUAAUCAGCACCUUGCUUCUCUUCCAUUCUUCCUUUCUCCAGAGUCAUGAUUCUUCCUUCUCAAGUCAAAGAGGAAUUACAAGCAAAUAGACACUAUCCUUGAAUGCAGUUUGGGUUACACAGAAUGGGGAAUGAACUCAAUCUCAUUUUUGCUUCUUUGUUGAAAUAAGCUCAGUAUCUCCCUUGCACAGAGAUUGAAUCGGCUUCACUAAGGCAAGCAGCAUUUCCUCUUUUCUCCCAGUCAGCAUCGCAGCUCUCUGCAUUCCCCUCUCGCAGAGGUGACUAUUCAUUGUGUUCUUUCCAGGAAUGUUUUCUGAGCUUCAGGAGGCCCUGAGUUACCUGGAUAAUUAGUGCUGUCCUUUUGCACAAUGCAAAAACAAAACUAUUAUGAGAUAAUUUCUUUAGCUAAGUUGGGAAUGGGGUUUAAAUGCGUGGGCAAAUAGAUCUGGCAGUCAAAUUCAGACUGUCAUAUUUUGUGAUCCACCCUCCCACCGAUCAUAGCAUAUAAGACUCUGAUGAACUUCACCAGCAACAGGGAAUUCUCCCUCCACUGCAGAUAAAACAAUGACAAUAUGGAAGUGAAAAAUGAAUAAUUCAAAAAUGGAAUUCUCUGUGGGGCUCCGUGCAGUGUGUGUUUCUGUGUGUGCAUGUGUUUUAUACAAGUCUCUGUUACUUUUGUAGUUUGGAUUGGACUUCCGUCGGUCCAUUAAUUUUGUUACUGGAUCCCACCACUUACCCAAAAUUAGCCUUUGGGUUGGGUGUUUCUGCAGUAUAGUCCCUUCUGUGGACACCAGAAAGAUAUUACAGGAAAGGGGUCCUGAUCAAGACCCCCAGAGACGGUUCUUGGACCUGGUUGGGAGGCCGAGGAUCACUUGAGGUCAGGAGUUCGAGACCAGCCUGACCAACAUGGUGAAACCCCAUCUCUACUAAAAAUACAAAAAUUAGCCAGGUGGGCCAGGCACGGUGGCUCACGCCUGUAAUCACGCCUGUCAUCACAGCACUUUGGGAGGCCGAGACAGGUGGAUCACCUGAGUUCAGGAGUUCAAGACCAGGCUGGCCAACAUGGUGAAACCCUGUCUAUACUAAAAAAACAAACAAACAAACAAAAAAAAAAACAAAAAUUAGCUAGUCAUGGUGGCCUGCACCUGUAAUCCCAGCUACUCAGGAGGCUGAGGCAGCAGAAUCCCUUGAACCCAGGAGGCAGAGGUUGCAGUAAGCCAAGCUCUAGCCUGGGCGACAGAGCUAGACUCCAUAAAAAAAAAAAAAAAAAAAAAAAAAAAAAAAAAAAAAGAAGAAGAAGAAGAAGAAAGAAAGAAUUAAUUCAUUAAUUCAGGAUGAGCCCGUAAAGUGAAAGCAAAUUUAUUAAGAAAGUAAAGGAAUAAAGAACGGCUGCUCCAUAGACAGAGCAGCCCCAAGGGCAGCUGGUUGCCCAUUUUUAUGGUUAUUUCUGGAAGAUAUGCUAAACAAGGGGUGGACUAUUCAAGCCUCUCGUUUUUAGAUCGUAUAGGGGAACUUCCUGACGUUACCAUGGCAUUUGUAAACACUCAUGAUGCUGGUGGGAGAGUGUAGCAGUGAGAAUGACCAGAGGUCACUCUUGUUGCCAUCUUGGUUUUGGUGGGAUUUGCCUGGCUUCUUUACUGCAACAUAUUUUAUCAGCAAGGUCUUUAUGUCCUGUAUCUUGUGCUGACCUCCUGCCUCAUCCUGUGACUUAGAAUGCCUAACCAUCUGGGAAUGCAGCCCAGUAGGUCUCAGCCGCAUUUUACCCAGUUCCUCUUCAAGAUGGAGGUGCUCUGGUUCAAAUGCCUCUGACAAUUUCACGGAUGGAUUCCAGGGACCUGUGAGCAGUCUCUGGAAGUCUUUGGCUAGGUGUGGUGGCUGACCAGGAACUGUGGCCCACCUUGUAGUUCCCACACAUGGGGAAGCAGACAGGUAGAGUGUAACCCACCAACCACUGCACACGCAGGAAACAGAUCCCAUGUCAGGACGCUUUGUAAGUGCUGCAUGCUUCCAGACCAGUGGAGAGAACCCAUCAGCACGUAUCUGUAGCCUUUACUUUUGCAAGAACAUAUCGCCGCAUUGUUUGGUAAUUUAACAUUUUUGACAAAAACAACUUGAAAGAGAUGAUGUUAAAAAAUGCUGGCAGGGAGCACACAGGAUUUUUAGGGUAGUGAAACCUCUCUGUAUGAUCCUACAAUGUCAUUAGACAUUUGUCCAAACCCAGAGAAAACACACCACAACCAAGAGUGAACCCUAAUGUAAACUCUGGACUCUGGGUGAUGAUGAUGUACAGUGUAAGGUUCAUCAAUUUUUUCUGUAAACCAAAAAUAAAAUUCUAAGUCCUCCAGCCAUCUAAAUGGACCCCUCCUCUUGGCCAAGAGCAUUCCAAAGCUAACCUGAAAAAACUAGUUCAGGCCAUGUUGGAAAGAGAAAGCCAGACAUGCCUCAUUAUCCCCUCCUCCCUUUUGGAAUUGCUGAUAAAACAGACUCUUUAAGUCUGACAAGAAACAUUUACAAUCUAUUCUCUCUAAAGCCUGAUAUCUACAGGCUUCAUUUGCAGGAUAAAACAUUGAUCUGGGCCAGGUGCAGUGGCUCAGGCCUGUAAUCCCAGCACUUUGGAAGGCCGAGGCGGGCGGAUCACAAAGUCAAGAGAUCGAGACCAUCCUGGCCAUCAUGGUGAAACCCUGUCUCUACUAAAAAUACAAAAAUUAACUGGGCGUGCUGUCACGCACCUGUCAUCCCAGCAACUUGGGAGGCUGAGGCAGGAGAAUCGCUUGAACCCAGGAGGUGGAGGUUGCAGUGAGCUGAGAUCGUGCCAUUGCACUCCAGCCUGGCAACACAGCGAGACUCCAUCUCAAAAAACAAAACAAAACAAAACAAAACCUUGGUCUCCACAACCCUUUAUCAUAACCCAGACAUUCCUUUCUACGGAUAAUAACUCUUUCAACCAAUUGCCAAUCAGAAAAAUUUUAAAUCUACCUAUGACCUGGACGCCCCUGUUUCCAAGUUGUCUCACCUUCGCAUCCUGAACCAUUGCAUAUCUUGCCUGUAUUGACUGAUGUCUCAUGUCUGCCUAUGAUGUAUAAACCAAUUGUACCCUGACCAGGUUGAGCACAUGUCAUCAGGACCUCCUGAGGCUGGGUCAUGGGUAUGUCCUUAACCUGGGCAAAAUAAACUUUCUAAAUUGAUUGAGACUUGUCUCAGAGACUCUUGGUUUCCAUUACAAAUGUGCCACGAUGGCAGGAAUGUUGAUAGCGUGGGAGGCUGUGUGUGUGUUGGAGAGGCAGACAGUAUAUGGGAAUUCUCUGUACCUUCUGCUCAAUUUUGCUGUAAACCUAAAACCACCCUAAAAAAUAAAGUCUGUUAAAAAAGCAAA